rnacentral:lncRNA from 1 species
CGAGCCUUGUGUGAGCUUCUCUAGUACCACCAGGCACAGGAUGUUAACUAUCACCGAUGACAACUUUAUGAAGAAUGGCACUGUUGAACUUGAACAAGUAUGUCAUAUACCUGCCCAAUGGCCUCUUAGAGAUGAUCUAUUGAUCGACAACGGUGUGUUACCAAAUUUUCGAGGAUUUUGUUCUGUUGGUGGCUGCUUUUACUUUGCUGGUAAUGCGCGUAGUCUUUUAACACAUAACGUGAGUGACGAUCGGUACUACUCAAAGCUGUGGUGCCUUAAGUAUGAGGAUUCUACUUGGGUUUGGAGUCUAUGUGGAACCAUGUUCUGCUCCCAAUUAAGUCCCUUAGUAGUCCCAUACGAUGGCAAAUUGUGCAUGUUUUGGGGUGACUAUCAAAUUGCAAAUUGGGUUGAGAUCUAUAGCCUAAAAUCAGGUCUAUGGGAAAAAAGGGAAGUGCCCGAUAGUGCUCUCUUCUCACAUCACCCGUUGCCUAGCUCGUACUUUCUGUGGGAGGACAGCACCAAGAGUCCCAAGAAGACCCUCAUUGUAUUGUAUUCUUUUCAUGAUAAUCAUCAGUUGCUCAUCUCAUAUGAUGUCAAGGCUAACAGAUGGGAAAAAGUUGAGUGCAAUUUUCCGCCAGUUCCUAGAUAUUGUCCUAGAAGAUUAGUUCGUUUGGGAUGUAGCCAUUAUCUUCUGAUUGUAGACUUCGCUCCAACGUGGUAUAUUUAUGACUUGUCUGAGAAGAAGCUUAUGGCAAUAGUGCACGUGGAUGGUUUGGAGGAGGAGGAUGUGCGGGUAAGAAAUAUUUUUUGUUGCCAACACAGUAGCAAAGAAAGUUUGAUUUAUAUAUUCCCGGAACACGAGGAAGAGGAAGAAUUUCCUGAGUUUGUUUCUUAUGCCAGAGUCAGGCUCCAACUCCAAACUUUUUCUGCCAACAUUGAAUCCAAGGGUUAUCUUAGAGUUGGUCCUUAUUACCAUUACCGUAUGUGAGUAUGCGCUUCUCUUUAAACUUGUUUCACCCUAUCCAUUGAUUGAGCUUUGAUAUUUACUUGUUUAACUCGGUGGACAGAUUUGCUGCUGGAGAUGAAGGCAAUAAAGAGAAGACUGUAGUUUAGUAUACGGGUGUGGUGGAUAUUAGGAAUUAGAAUUUGAGCAUGAAUGACAAGUAGCCAAAGAAAGAAGUGAUGGAUAGCAAAGUGAUAUGAAAGCUGUAGCCACCUUGAAUCCAACUUUGUUGCCAAGACAUGCAUGCCAAUCUGCCUUUCUAUUGUACAGAAAUAUUUUGUAAGCUAUGUAUUUACCUCUGGCCUGAAACACAGGACUCAACAUCUCCCAAGUCUAAGUGCAAUUCAGAUGUAUAUACUCUUUUAUCAUGAUUUUGAGAUAUUAGAAUCUUCAACUUUCGUUAAGUACUAAUGUGACUUGUAUCAUAUCGAGCACAAGAUAUUAUCUCCUUACAGAUCAUACUACUAUCAUUUUGCCAGAUUUAUUAGUUAGAGUUUAUAUCUUAUUUAAUAUAAAAUACCAUAAUAAUUAUGUUCAAAUAAAAUUAUUUAUUUAUUUUUAUUAUAUAAAAAAAAGUUAAUAGUAAAUUUUUGUUAGAUAAAUUUAAUAUAAAUAAUUAUGUUAUUAGAAUUUAUUAUUUUUAGCUAUCAGUUGCUCGUCAAUGUUUAAAAGUAUAAGAUAAAGUAUGUUGUUAAAUUAUAAAACUGACUAAAAAUAAUAAAUUCUGAUCGUCCCUAGCAUUUAUUUUUUAUUUUGUCAUGUCAAAUAUUUUAAAGUCCUUUAGCAGGAGUCGAAGCACCACUAAAACCUAUUACUAAAAUAUUAGUUGGGAUUAAAUCAUCAGGAUGCUUGCUUACCUUCAUCAGCAUCCUCUCGGGUAAGAGGCUUAUAGCUGCCCCUCCAUCGAUCAGGAUUUUGUAAAUUUUUAUCCCACUCAUAGUUGCAGUAAUAUGCAAUGGGCGCAAAUGAGAUUUUUGUUUUUCAGAAGCCCUUCGAAAAUAAUCGGGUUCAUCCUCAUAUCGAAUGAAUGAAAAGGUUUCUUCAUCGUCCACAUCAUAAUCCUCUAUAAGAUUUCCUUCAUAUUCCCCCAGAUAUUCAGUUGGGAUAAUUGAGAUGGUACCGACCAUUUCAUCACAUCCUUCUUUGAAGUAAUUUUUCGUCCAGAUAAGCACCCUUAUCUUUAUCAGCGAUUGGAACACUAACGACUGCUUUUCCUUUAUCCAAUUUCACAGGGGAAGUAACUCCCUUCGGAUUUGUCUCUCCAUCAGUCGAAAAGACUAUUUGAGAGAACACAGAUGGUGUUGCCCCCUUGCCGUUGUCAGCAAGAGAUAUCUUAGGUGGCUGUUGUCCUUUUUGGCCUUUGCCUCGUGGGUACCUCCUAGCUUGGCCAUGGAAAUAUGAAAAUCGACCUCGAGGAGGACCUCUAUGCCCCAACUAUGGGGUACGCUUGUAAUGAGCAACCCUAUUCUGGAACUCUCGGCAGUUUCAAAUCCAUUGUAUGCCAAUGGCUUGAGAACGGUUGGUAGGCGCAAUAGGAUUUUUCUGAGGACCUCCAGAACUUUACCCUUUCAUUCGUUGAAUAGGUUGUUUCUGACGGGCUUGUUUUUCCCUAUGAUCCAAUUCCUUCUUCAUUCUUUCCUUCUCAAAAAUUGCUGCAGCUUCAGCAUCGAAAACUACAUUGCAUCAAGGACAUAGAGAUACGUCCCGAUCUUUUAACUUCUGCUGCACCAAAAAAUCCAACAACCCAUCUCCUACUCCAGGGUAUACAGAUUGGACAUCUGAUUCAAAAUUUCCUAGAGAUAUAUCAAAGUCAUAAGACAUUCCAACCAUGUUUACACCAAAAUAUGGUUCAGCAAAACUAGCUUCAGUAUCGAAAGGAUCAGAAUCAACUUUCAUUUCCUUUUUACUAUCAUCGAAUUUCAACCUCCCUUCCAUGAUGGCCUCUUGAAUUAAAUCCUUGAAACGAACGCAAUUGUUAGUCGAAUGACUAGUUACUUGGUGGAAGUUACAAUAAAAUUUCCCUUUUAAAUCUUUCGCUGAAAGCAAAGUUCUGCCUUCCAACAAAACUAAUUGUUUAUCUUUAAGCAACACAUCGAAAAUCUGAUCAGAUUUUGAAAUAUUAAAACUAUAUCUCUUUCCACUUUUCAAUUUUGAAACAUUUGACUUUUCAUUGUCAGGGAUUUUCUUAAGUAAAGAACAAACAUAAGGAUGACCGUUCUUAAGUUCAGCCAAAUCAACUUCUGCCUCUAAAUCGGAUUCCUCAUCAGAGGAUUCCAUGGCUACAUAAGCAACUUUCUCUUUUGAGAAAAAGAUUUACUCUUCAAUCUCCUUUCAUUCUUAUAUUUCUCCUUUUCUUUUUUUUCAGAAUUUCUACCUAACGAACUCUUUCAGCCAAAUUGGCCAAAUUAGGAAUAUGCACAUUGAGUAAUUUUCAACGCAUAUAAAAUUCUAAUCCCAUAGCUGCUAUCUUCACUACUUCACUUUUAGGAAGUGACACAUAACAACGACUUCUAGCAUUUUUGAAAUGAAUCAUAUAAUCAUCAAUGGUUUCACCAUCUUCUCGUUUCAAAGCCACCAGGUCAGUAACUGCCACAUUCAAUUCUCCCCGAUAAAAUAGGGCAUGAAAAGUAGUUUCUAACUGAGCCCAUGUUGUUAUCGAAUUUGGUCUAAGAUUCAAAAACCAAGUAAACACAUUCCUCGUUAAUGAGGAAGGAAAAACUUCAUUUUCAAACUUUCAUCAUUGGCCGAAUUUCUAAUCUCGACCAAAUAUCGAGCAACAUGUUCAAUAGUUGACUCUCCAACUUCUCCUGCGAACUUUAUAAUUAUUUUAGGAUUUUUCAUUCCUCUUGACACUUCAUCCAUUUGAACAUUCUGAGGAAAAGCUGACACAAAGUGGGAUCGAUUCAUGAAUCCUAUACUGAAUCCAACCCUAUUUAAAACAUCUUAGCUUCCACAAUUCUAGAAGUGCAUCAAAGACCCUCAAAUUAGAUAAAAUUAGAGGAAAAGACUGAAAAGACAACAAAUAAAUAAAAGAUUUUGAAAAUAAAAAGAAAAUGACUGGAAUUGAAAUGGUUUGCAUUGAAUUUAAAUAAAGUAAUAAAAUGCCUUUGAUUGGAUCAAAGGACUUUGAAUUCGAAAAUAAAAAUACUGGAAAUGUAAAUUGGACAAGAAUGUUAAAUUUUGCUUGAAAGAUAAAUUUGCAAGAAAGGUAAAGUUUGCAGAAAAAUGUAAAUGAAAAGUAAAACAAGUGGAAGGAACCCUACAGAGAAUUAACUCGAGGCAGACUCAGUAAAUCGCUGGGGAUGUGUGAGUGUGUGUGAGCAAUUUCUGAAGCAAAGUUCAUACUUUGAACGUCUUCUUUUAUCUCUUUGUUGCAACAAAACCCUAUAGUUCCGAAUUCGGGGUGGAUAUCUUUUCGAGCUGUACAGGGUCGGAAGGCUUUUUCUAUCUUUGAUGAUUCUUUCCACAAUUUUAAAAAUCACUUUUUAAGGUCCUGGGUGCUGUGAGUGUCCGACCUUUCUUCUUGUCCGAGAAUCAAGAACCCUCGUUUUCCUUAUACUGGCAAGAUACCGUUAAUAUCGUUAGGCAUGAUCUAGCCGAUUUAGAUGACUUAGAGAGGAGUGUUGAUUUUGUUUUGGGUACAUAGGAUGAAGCUCUCCAUUUGGACACAAAAAGAUAUUUAGGACAUCCCAGCCUUCUGAAGUCGGACCUCGGUAGUUCUCCUUCCUUUACUUACUGAAUUCUUUUUAUUUUACAGUUGUUAUUUUUUACUGCGUCCUAUUUUGUUUUCAGAAAGUAUGGCUCUAAAAUCAGCUAUGAAAUAUUUUCGGAAUACCAAGAAGUCAAUUGUUGCCAAGAAUCUCCAGCAACAAAAGGAGGCCGGGGCUAGGUCCUUGGUCCGAUCUUCCCCGAGGAAGAAAUCGGGGUCGGGUCCCUCUGAGGAGAAGGUCAUCAUUCUUACCCCUCUUUCCAAGCUUAUUCCAUCUGAGCCUUCCCCUGAAUCUCCUUCUUCCACUGAACCCCCCUUCAAGAAGCAGAAGGUGGAUGAUGAAGAGAGCAUUUAUUCAAGGAGCUUCGAUGCCCUAACUUGGGGUGAGAAGAACGUGCUCCCUUACCACCACCUAAUCAUGGACGAUGUUGUCAUUCAGAACCACCUACAGCCUUUGGCCCGUGGAGGGCUUCGAACAGUUGGGAUGUGUGCUACUUUGGCUAGAGAGUUGAGGAGCUCUCCUAUACAGGCCACAACUAGUGCUCUUAUGGCUACUCGAGCUGAUGUAAAGAGGGUGAACGAGCUGAAAAAGGACUUGGAGCAGGAACAGGAGACCUUGAAGUCCGACCUUGAAAGAGCUCGGAAAAGAGCUAAUAAGUCGGAGGCUGCUGCUGCUUUUGCCGAGGAAAAGGCCAAGAAAUUUUAGAAAAGCUUCACUCGUGUAUUUGGGGAGAGAAUGGCACGGGAGGAGGAGUUGGGAAAACUGAAGGAGCAGUUUGCUGAGUCCUAGGAGUUGGCCGCUCUGGGAAUGAACGAGAUGCUUGACAACUUGGAAGCUCAGGUUAAGGUCUUGGUUCCCGAGCUUGACCUUUCCCUCUUCAGCGUAGACAAUAUAGUGGUGGACGGGAAGAUAGUCCCUGCACUCGAGUCGGACGAAGAGGAGGAGCCUCCUCAGAAUCUGAAGACUUCGGGACCUCAGGUCAGUCAUACUUCCACCUCGGGAGCCUAACCCAAAGCUUCUGUUGUGGAGGCCUCUUCUUCUGCUCCUGAGAAUAUUUCGGCUGUGUCAGUUUUUAUGCAUCCUCACACUCCUUCAGCUGGGGGCAAAGACGUUGUGACUGGCGAGGCUCUCAAAUCCUCUAAUGGGUGAGAAGUCUUGAACUUUUUUAAAUUCCUUUGUUAUCUUUUGUUUUUCAUAAUAUCCCGACCUGCAGGCUUUGAUGAUACUUUAGUUUUUUGUAUUAGUUUAAUAGUUUUUUGAACACUUUAACUUUGUUUAGUUGUUUUGACAACUUUUAGCAAGUAAUGUUCAAAAUUUAUUUUCUAUCAUGGAGCAUCUGCUUUAGAGAACGGCUUUUGCAUAGCCGGAUAUCCUUUAUUUGAGGUCACUUUGUACAAGUUGUUUGUAUAACUUCUUACAUUAACUUGUAUCUCGUCGCUUCAUCUUGUCGUCCACUUUAGGUCGGACAAUGAUUUUUUGCGGUUUGUCGAGUUUAAAUUAAUGCGUUUAAGAUAGGAAACCUUUAAAAAAGUAAAUAAAAUAAGAAUUUUUAUUGAUAUUCCUUUACAAAUUCCUUUAUUAUAUUUGAAAUUCUUAGAAGCUGCCCUAAAAUCUAAAAACAUUGAGUUAUUGAUAACUAACCCUGACCCAUACUAUCAAUUAACUUGGAACUUUUCUUCCUCACUGGUUCAUGUGGAUUAAAAAAAAAAAUCAACACACACUAAGAAAAAAAGGACCUAAAAAAAGUUUAUUUAAAUUGAAAACCACAAACAAAAGAGAUUAGUUUUCUGGUUAGGUUACCCUAAAAUAAAAAGCAAAACAGUAGUAGUUCAUUUAUGUUGAAAGCAGGAACUUAAUUAGUACCUGAAAUUCAAUUGCUUUCAAAAUUGUCUUGACGAUGAUUGAGGAGAUGUAGUUAUGUUAUGCCGUCAACAAUGGAAGGAGCUGAAAUAGAAAGAACAAAUCGAAGGAACAAAAUUAUUAAGAUAAAAAAAAAUUAAAAAGACGGAAAGAAUCAUGGCUAGGAAUCAACAAGAUACGGAUGAUAUGAAAGUAGCGGUAAAAGGAUAAAAAACAAAAUCCAAGAUUUAAAUUAAGAACAAGAUUUUGAUUGCUAAUUAAUUAAAAAAACACAUGUCAAUCAAAUUAAGAAGCUAUAUCAUGGGUGCAUCAAUGUCAAUAAUAAGCUUGAGAAGAUGAAAGAAAGAAGACUCGAUAAAUAAAUAAAUAAAUUAUGGAUAAUUAAGAAACAACAUCUAGCAAUUCAUUGGUUAAUAAAACUUGACAAAUUAAUCUUUAACAUACUAAAUUAGGGUAUGUCUAAAACGAACUCAACUAUUAUGUGCUUAUUGAAUGAGCCACAUUUAUAAAGGCUGUUAGAUUUUAUUAGAUGAAAAUUAAAGGCUAAUAUAAAAUAAGAACAUUGAUGGACUCUAAUAAAUAUAGAAUAUCCUAGUACAUAAAUAAAUACUUUAAAUGGUAAUACUUUAAUAUUUUUAUGUUAGUUAUAGUUUAAAAUAUUAUUUUAAUAUAAUUUUUUAAUAUUAUAAAAUUUUUUUGCAAUAAUUAAUUUUAAUAAAUAAAAAAUAUUCAUAUAUUUUAUAUUUAAUUAUUUAAGAAUAAAAGAUUUUGUUGCCGUUUAAAGUAUUGUGUAUUAAAAUAUUACCAUUUAAAACAUUUAUUUAUGUACUAAGAUAUUUUAUAUUUAUUAGAGUCCAUCAAUACUCUUGUUUUAUAUUAGCCUUUGAUUUUUAUCUAAUAAAAUCUAAUGGCCUAUAUAAAUGUGGCUCAUUCAAUAAGUACAUAAUGGUUGAGCUCGUUUUAGACAUACCCACUAAAUUAAAGAAUAUCAUAAAAAAAAAUUUCGAUAUAUCAUAUAUAAGAGAAAUCAAGAAAAUUGGAGUAAAGAUUAAUAGGAAAAACAAACUAGCGCAAAAAUUGAAGGUAACUAAAAUAAAAUAUUAAAGUUGAUCUUGAUGAUGAAUUAAAUAAAGAACAUAAUGAACUAACCAUAGUUUUCUUAAUCAAACAAACAAACAUUACAUGCUGAAUUUCUUUACUGACAUAAGAAUGUGAUGGUUAAUUACCUUGGCUUAAUAUAUAUUUGAAGAGGAAAAAAAAAGUAAAAUGUGAAGCGAAAAAGGUUUAAGAAAGAAGUUAAAAAGUGUGAAUUUUAAAAAGAGAAAAGACUAAAGAGAAUAGAAUUAAAAAUGAUUAUUAAUUAAUAAAAUUAAUAAAACUAUAUUAAUUUGUUAAAUAUUUUGUUUUAUCAAUUUAAAUAAUAUAAAUUUAAUUUAUCCUGUAUAACAAAAAAUANNNNNNNNNNNNNNNNNNNNNNNNNNNNNNNNNNNGCUAAAAGAUAAAUAUUUUAAGACAAAAAAAAAAGUGUUAAUACACGAGAUACUAAGUAUUUAGAUAAGGUGCGUUUUAAAAUAAAAAGAGGUUAAUAAUUUUACAAGUGUCGCACUCAAUUCUGGUUAAGUGGACUCUGCUAAAAGAAAAUUGGUGCAAAAUAAAUAUAGAUGGUUCAAUCUUUUAAAAUAAAGAUUCCGAUUCUAAUGAUAAUUUAACCAGAGAUUCAAAUGACAUAAUUCUCGCGCUGGAAAUCCAGAAUUUCUCUACUAUUCCUCCUUUUUUGCUCUUUUGUUAGAUGCAAACAUAAUACUUAAUUUUGUUUUGUUAGGACCCCUUCAUAAAAAAAAAAAUUGACUUUCACUUUGAAAUAACAGAAGUCGAUCACUGCUUUGCUCUUGACAAAUAGUUGUAAAAUACAAAAUAUGCCAUAUGCAGUGGUCUUCAAUAAUUACAUAACAAAGUGGCCACAUGUUCAUACGAAACACUUCAAUUCUUACAAAAUACAAAGAUAUCAAAACUACCACACCAUAUUGGAAAUUGAACAUAUAAUCAUCCAAUCCACAUUAGACAACACAAACAUUAAUCUAGUACUAGCGUUUUUCUUAGAGGAUAGAAAAUACUGUUUGAAUAAGUGAGAAUAAGCAGAAAAUUUCUAGCAACAGAAACUACUAUUUUUCAUAGAAUGUUACAGAAAGCAUUCAACUCUUCAAAAAUAAAGGAAUUUGCACAUUAAAAUCUGGAUACAAAAGAUUCACUCCAAGACUAUUGAACAUUUUGGCCACUGCAUUGCUAUCACCUAACCAAUUCACAAUUAUUUUUUUCUUAAUAAGGAAAUCUACAUCUUUGUCUGCAUUGAUAAAAAAAUAAAAUAAACAUAUAAAUAAUGUAAAAUUAAAUAUUAAAAAAACAGAGAAAAGGGGAAAGCAUUUAGUAACAAACCAGCAUGAAAAAGGAGCAUUUUGUUAAGAAACUUUGUAUAUAAUUUCAUGCAUUGCAUGGCCAAGAUAGUGUUUGGUGACCUAAAACCUAAAACAGAAAGCAACAUGCCAAUCAUGUCGGCGCCCGCACUCUUCUCCACCGUGAGCGCCGCCACGGCCAUUGCCACAACCUUGUUGUUAAUCUGCAAGUGUCGUCUCAUGCGCGUCAGCCCCUACCAAAAGAACCUCACAACACACCGUCGCCAACAACCCAAACGCAAUCAACGUGGCAAGGUGCUAUUCGUUUCCCAAAUCGGAACUUCAAAAGCCCUAGCGACGUGCCUCUGCGAUUUGUUAGAGUCGAAAGGCAUCGUUUUGGACCUCGUAGAUGCCCGGAAUUACGAGCCCGAAGCCCUACCCAAGGAGAGCCUCGUCCUCCUCGUUGCUUCAACUUCGGAAGUUUGGAACCUAUAUUCCGCACGGGAUUUCUACUCCGAUCACGACCUACCUUGGGGAGCAAAGUUCUUCGUCAAUUGGAUCGAGGAAAAAAAGAACGCCUUUAAGGUUGGAGCAUUUGUUGUGAAUGCUUGCAGUUUCAGUGCCUUUGUCGUGGGCAGCGGUGGCAAGAAUUUGAUGGCUAAGGCCGCCAAUGAGAUUAGGGAUUUGGGGCACACUGCUGAAUCGAAAGCGGAUUUUGAUAGCUGGUGGGGAAGUGUUGUUGCGGUUUUGGAAGGUGCUGUUUUGGGAGAUGCUGCUGAUGGAAUAUGCGGGGAAUCUGAUCCUGAGGUCCGUUUCUGCAUCCUCUUAACUGGAUAACUAUCCGUUUCUAUUUAUUAUUAUCACACUGCAGAGCUCUCUGUUUAAUAGUUAAUUGUUUCCCUAAUUCCAGGAUGUUGGUUCUUCUGAUCUAAAGCUAUCCAUGACACAGCGUUUAUAUAUGUUGGUAGAAAAUGAGGAUUUUGUAAUAGAGCAAACCGAGCCUUAUUUGAGAUUCUCUAGUACCACCAGGUACAGGAUGUUAACUAUCACUGACGACAACUUUAUGAAGAAUGGCACUGUUGAACUUGAACAAGUAUGUCAUAUACCUUUCCAAUGGCCUCUUAGAGAUGAUCUAUUGAUCGACAACGGUGUGUUACCAGAUUUUCGAGGAUUUUGUUCUGUUGGUAGCUGCUUUUUCUUUACUGGUGAUGUGGAUGGUCUUAUAACACAUCCGAACGGGGGUUAUUAUGAUUGUCCCUACUCAAAGCUGUGGUGCCUUAAGUAUGAGGAUCCUACUUGGGUUUGGAGUCUAUGUGGAAGCAUGUUCUGCUCCCGAUCAAGUCCCUUAGUAGUCCCAUACGAUGGCAAAUUGUGCAUGUUUGGGGGUGGGUAUGGAUAUGCAAAUUGGGUUGAGAUCUAUAGCCUAAAAUCAGGUCUAUGGGAAAAAAGGGAAAUGCCCGAUAGUGCUCUCUUCUCAGCUCACUCGUACUUCCUGUGGGAGGACAGCACCAAGACUCGCAAGAAGACCCUCAUUGUGUUGUAUUCUUUUGAGGAUAAUCAUCAGUUGCUCAUGUCAUAUGACGUCAAGGCUAACAGAUGGGAAGAAGUUGAGUGUAAUUUUCCGCCAGUUCCUGAAUUUAGUCUUAGAAAAUUAGUUCGUUUGGGAUGUAGCCAUUUUCUUCUGAUUGUAGACUUCGUUCCAAUGUGGUAUAUUUAUGACUUGUCUGAGAAGAAGCUUGUGGCAAUAGUGCACGUGGAUGGUUUGGAGGACGACGAUGUGCGGGUAUCAAAUAUUUUUUGUUGUCACCACAGUAGCAAAGAAAGUUUGAUCUAUGUAUUCACGGAACACGAGUUCGUGAAAGAGGAGGAGCUAGAGGAAGGGUCAGAUCUUCCUCAUCUUGUUCCUUAUGCCAGAGUCAGGCUCCAACUCCAAACUUUUUCUGCCAAGAUUGAAUCCAAGGGUUAUCUUAGAGUUGGUCCUCAUUACAAAUACAAUAUGUGAGUAUGCGCUUCUCUUUAAACUUGUUUCACCCUAUCCAUUGAUUGAGCUUUGAUAUUUACUUGUUUAACUCGGUGGACAGGUUUGCUGCUGGAGAUGAAGGCAAUAAAGAGAAGACUGUAGUUUAGUAUAGGGGUGUGGUGGAUAUUAGGAAUUAGAAUUUGAGCAUGAAUGACAAGUAGCCAAAGAAAGAAUUGAUGGAUAGCAAAGUGAUAUGAAAGCUCUAGCCACCCUGAAUCCAACUUUGUUGCCAAGACAUGCAUGCCAAUCUGCCUCUACAAGUCUACAAAUAAAGAAAAGUUUAGGGGACUAACAACUUUAUUAAAUUAUGGCCAGUAACCAGCAAAAAAAAGUGAGUCAUUAGAUAAAAUGUCACAUCAAUCUCACAACAUUAAAAUCACCAUUAAUGGUUAUUUGAUGGCUACAAAUUACAAAAAUUGCUGUCCCCCUAGCAUUCUUCUACAAAUAUUUUGUAAGCUAUGUAUUUACCUCUUUGGCCCUGAAACACACGACUCAACAUCAAGUUUAAGUGCAAUUCAGAUGUAUAUACUCUUUUAGUACCCUACACAACACAACAACAGUUGAACCUUUUGUCAGAAAUCAUAAUUUAAGAAUCAAAAGUUUUGGAAGAAUCACAAGAGUUUGAAAUACAGCAUGGGUGGAAUAGGAAACACGCACAACCUUAUAAAAAAAAUAAAAGUUGUGUUAUGCGACGACAAAGAUAUAAUAUUAUAUAUAGCUGAGAUUGGGAACAAAUAAAGACAAGUAUAAUGAUCUUAACUUGCAAAGUGAAGACGUGUAUAUCACUUUUUUUUUUCUUGGAUGCUCUAAGGCAAGUAUCACUGACAUUAUAAAAUAAGAAACAUAUUUACACAAGGCUCAUCUUCAAGAUAUACUAUGAGUAACGACCCAUUAGUUAAUACAAAUUUAUUACUUCUAGCAUUUUUUUUUGUUUUAAGUAUUUAAAUACACAAUAGAAAGAUAUUAGAGGAUGUAUAUUCACGUGCAAUAACCAAUUAGAGUUAGUUAUAUUCCAGUCAGCAAGUUAGUUAGAGUAAGACCAGAUUUGGUAGUUUUUGUUAGACCGUUCAACUAAUUAAGACCAACUAUACAAAGCUGAUAACCAAGACUUAGUUUAAGCUUUUCAUUCCUCUGUUCAUUACUUGUAACACAAUAAUAGAUUGUGAACCUUUUCUCCAUACUCAUGGAUUCCGUUAUGGUGAGAAGCUCUCAAACUCACUCAAUAGAGUUUGAUGAUACAACUUGUGAGAUACCCACUGUUCUAUCAUGAUACUUUAUUACUUUUAAAGCUAAACUCUUUUUUUUAUGCUAUGGAGAGUUAGUAGCAUGAUAACGGCUAAUAAAAACAAUAAAAUGGAAUUAUACAAGCUGAUGCUAGAGAACAGAACAUGUUUAUCUGAAUAACAGUAACAAUAACAACGAGAAAUACAAAGUACAAUAACAAUUAAAAUACAGAAAGAUGUUUAUUGCAAACAUUAUUCAACUAUAUAUCUCUGCAACACUUGCACUAAUUGGAGGAACCUUGAACUACUUGGAUGACAGAACAUAUUGUUUGAAUAAUAGUGAGAAGAAGCAAUGCAAUUCCAGCAAUGGAAGCUACCAUCUUCCAUGGAGUGUUGAAGUAGUCGCGCCUCAAAGUUGCCAUUAAACGGUUCCAUGGAUGUCCACGGAAAGCAUUCAACUGUUGACAAGUGCGAAGAUAAUUUUCAUUAAAAGUUGACUGUGCAACGUUCUUCCAAAGACCAUUGAACAAUUCAGCCACAGCAUUACUAUCUCCUAACCAAUUGACGAUUAUCCCACUUUUGACCAAGAGAUCUACAUCUUUUUCAGUGUUAAUAAGUAAAUCAAGGACUGCAAUGUAGUCAGUGAUGUAGGACUGAUCAGGAUAGUGGCAUUGUUCGAAAGCUACGACGUUCCUCAACCAGAUUUCAGUCGUAUCAUCCACUUUAAUCUCUGGAAUUCUAAGAGUAUGACCUUCAAAUCUUAAGUCUAAUAAGUCUUUACUUGUUUUACUUACUUUAAAGCACACUCCUGCUUCAUGUAACUCAGUUGCACUAUAAAGGCGAGGUAAAGAGUUUUCUUUCCUUAUAGGUAGACUAGUACAUGAAUUCAAUUUUAAGGUUCUUGAUAGAUCUGUGAAAUGAGCUAUGCUGUCAUUAGAGGGAAAGUUUGGACUAUGGCCAAAAUACUUAAGAGUGAGGGAUAAAAAUGGAGGAUGAUCAUGAUCACCAUUAUUCAGUUUAGAAAAAAAGGCUAAAUUGUAUAUUUUUUCCAAUAUAAAGAAAGGAAGUUGAUUCUCAAGUAACAACAAAUCCCAUCUUAUAUCACUCCUCAACCAUGGUGAUAAACAGAUAGCAUCAUCAUCUGUCCAACAAUUGAAAUGAUACCUGAGUAAAAGCUCAAUUAUGAAACCACAGUCUACCACUAUCACCAUGACAUGAUCCUCCUCAUUAAGGUUAAUGUUAUCUGAGUAAGAUCUUCGAACUUUUGGUUCCAACUGCUGCACACAUCUCACCAACCUGUCCAAGUUUUUCUCGGAUCUUUCAAUGAAUUUUUCACAGUAUAUUCUUUUCUGGCCUUCCAUCUUUAGCAAAUUUUCAUCUCCAUGGUGGAAAGCACCAAUUGAAACAACCUUUGGAGUGUAUGCUUCUUCAUUUAACUUGCGGAUUUGACGGGGCACUCUGUAGAUGCAGCAUUCACGUGUGAAAAGGGGUUUUGCUUCUUUCAACAUUUCUUCAAUCUUCCUUGUAACAUGAUUACAAUUCUGAUCUGCCAUCUAUGAAUCAAAAUCAGAACACCAGGGAAGAAAUGUCAACUAUAAAUUAUAAUCAUUAGUUUAUCACAUAGAAUAAAAUGUAGAUCCAAAUCAUCCAACCUUAAGACAUGAAAAUUGGCCUAUUAAAAAGAAAAAGACUAGAGUAAAAACAUCACAAAGAGAGAAAAAGACUAUAUAAGAUGAAGAGCAACAAAGCCAUUACCUCACAAAAAGAGAGUUCAGCAAGGUCUUGCUAUAGUCAGAGAGAUCUCAAAAGUUGACACUGUGAAAGCACUUUCUGAAAGAGCAACUCUAGAAUGAAUGGAUCGGACAUCGGAGUCGAGCUAGUCAACGUGCAUUUGGUCAACAGUACUGGUCGCCUGAUAUAUACAGUUGCAACUUUCAUAUAGUCUACGCUCAGUCAAUUAAUUUUUUUUAGCGACGGAAAUAAAUUAAACACCAAAUAUAAAACAAAACAAAUGAGCUGUUUAAAUAGAGAAAUAGUCCUGUUUAAGAUUAUUUUUUUUUAUCUUUAACUUAAAGUAUUAAAUGAUAUAAAUUAAAUUAUCUAAAAUCAGAUCUUAUAAAAUUCUUAUUAUUUCAUAACUUAUUUUUUAAAGUUAAAUUUAAAAUUUAAAAAAUUCAAAUCUAUGAAAUAAAUAAUGAGAGAUUAUACUUUUAUUCUAAAAUAAAAUUUAAAAUAGUCACCCAAAAAAAUAAAAAAAAUUCAAAAUUUAGAAGAUGAAAACCAUAACUCACUGUGCCUCUUCAACUUGCUCAGUAUUAAGUAAAUGAAGAUUCCUCCGUUGAUCUCUUUCACCAAUUUCUUUAAUUUGUUUAUUUGUUUGGUUUUUUUUUUUUGUAUUUUUUUGUGAAAUUAACUAAAUAACUUUGAGAUCUGAACACAAUUUUCUUCAAUGGUAUAAUUCCUAAUAUACUUUGCAAAAUUACAAUGGCGAGCAAAGUUAAAACUUAAGAAGCGAGUUUGUUAAGGCGGUUAUUAGCAAAUAAAGUCAACUUUGAUCAACUUUUAAUCUUUCUUUUUUCUUUUUUUUUUGGAGUUGGUCAACUUCUAUUCUGUAUGCUUGGCCCAAAUUGCCUUCCCCUCAGAAGUAUUGCAUAACAUGCACUUCAUUCCAUAUCAGCUUAAAAAUUGUAUGUAAUGUAUAAUAUAAUUAAUAAGUCAUGAACUAUAUUAAGUGUACCUUUUAAAUCGGUCACCAAAAUUAACUACUAAUAUAAAAUACAUGUUAAAAUAUAACUACACAUUGAAAAUAAAUUGAACAAUAUAUAUAUUUAUACAUAAAUAUAUUGGUGGUUAAUUUUAGUAGCUACUUUUAGUGUACAAAUAAUAUUUUUGUAAUUCAUUUCAUUUGAUAUUCAUAAUUUUUUUAUUUUGACAACUUUUAUUUUCAAUAUUUUCUUUAUGAAAUUCUAAAUAAAGGAAAUGUAGAAAAAAAAUACACAGGCAACCAAAAAAUUCUUAAAAUUUACAAAUCUCAUCCGUAAUUAAGAGAAACAGAAUAAUAGAAAUCUUAAUUUUCCACUAAUUUUAUAUACAGCAUGUCAGCACAUAAUGCUUGCAUCAUGGAAAAUGGUUAUACUGGUUCCAAGUAGCGGAAUUUGAAGAGAAUUUUUGGAAGGAUCAAUGAUUUUAACCCAAUUAUAUUGGUUCACAUAAUGACAUUUAUAUUUAAAUUUUAACAUAAUUUUUAGCAUAACUUCAAAAGUUGCAAGUUGUGAUCAAAUCUAUACAAAUGCAAUAAUACUAAAUAGAAUAAAAUAAACAAAUCUUAAUUCCAAUCCUACUAAUUGCAACGUGACAAUUGUAAAAGAAAAAGUAUACAGAGGCAAUGGUCUAAACGUACAAUGUGUACAAUGAAGUCUAAUCGUACAAUGUGUACAAUAGAGGUUUAGGAAGUAUUAGAGAUAUGACCAUUAGUGUUACAUUAUCUUAUCAGGUUACGCUUUUGGGAUGAGUGAUUUCAUGACAUGGUAUUAGAGUUCUAGAUCCGAAAAGUUUAUUAUCUGGUAUCCGGGUAGUAUAGGUGGUGUUCAUUUUAUUCAUGGACUAAAGAUUUAGCCCAUUGUACACAUUGUAUACUUAAGCCAUUGACUCCCUAGCAGUACUCAUUAUAAAAUCAUGUUGUUUUUAAUUAUUCUACAAGCGAGACCCUUGCUUUUCUUUUUCUUUAAAGGUGUUUUUUUUUUUUGGGUGACUUUAAAGGUGAUGUUUACUUCUUUGAAAGUGAUAUUUGCAAAUCUUUUUCUUUUACUACAAGUAAUACCACGUAAAAUUGAAGGGUUUUUUUUUUCUUUUGUCUAAGAGAUUUAAAGGUUUUAACCAACUAGUAAAUUAGCCAAAGCCAAAAACACAAAGGUUAUUAGUCCAAUUUGGACUGAGAAAAAGUAAUAAGUGAAUGGAAAAUGUAGAAGUUGAACACUUGAACCUGAUAAUUGAUUUAGUUAUGUGAAAUCUUAACUCAUUGAAUUAAUCAUACUAUAUAUUGUAACACUACUAAUUUUUUUUUUAUAAAAAUUAAGUAUGAUUCAAAAUAAAGUGUGAAAAGAAAAACUGAAAACUAAAGCAGUCCAAUGCCCAGACCAGUGAUUUUGGCCUUUUGCUUCCAUCUUGGAAGUUAAAAUGUCUUAUGCUUUGGAAUCACCAUAACAUAACACUUGAAACAACCCCAAACCUCUAUAGAAAUUAAGGAGAAAAAUAACAGUAAAGUAUUUAAGGCAUUAUUUUUUACUUUCAAGCAAAAUCACGUGUUUGCCAAAUAGAGCCAUGGACUUCAUGGUGUAUAAUGGAAAUGAACGUUCUAUUUGGCAGAGUACCAGUUUUGAGCACACUUGCCAUCAACAUUUGGCCAUGCACUCUACAACUACGGCCUUUGGUACCUCAGCUAACUCGUUUGGCCCUUCCAAUAUCACAUUUGAUUAUUAAAAUAUGAGUUUAGAAUAUAUGAUUGGUAAUAAAUUAUAACUUUAAAAUAAAAACUAACUAAUGACUUCCAUAAAAACACAUGAGCAGGAAAUACAAAAGUUCAAAAUUAAAAAAAAAAUUAAUAUAUCCAAUAAAUAAGAGAUUGUAAAAAAAUUAUGAACAAUUUAGUUUUUGUUUUCAUGUUCAAUAUUUUUGUUUUUUGUCUUUGUUAUAUUAUAAAGAAAAUAGAAAAAUUUUAAAAUAAAUACAAAAAUUAAAUAAUUUUCUAAAUACAAAAUUUUCUUUACUAACAAAUGUCAUGAUACAUGAAUUAGGAUAAAAAAAAAUUACAAAGAUAACAUUGCAUUCAAUCAACGAAAGCGUACCAAUUAACAGAAGACUUCAACAAAGUUUUAUCAUAUAAAUCCAAAGAGGCCAUUGCGUUAGUGACCAUACGUUUGGAUGCAACAAAGUUUUACCAUACGAGGAACCAAAGUAUUCAAAAUGAAAACUUAAGGUAACAUAAUGUCUUUCGAAUAAACCAAAACCAAAUAAACUCACCAAGUGGAAAUGACGUGUGAAACAAGUCAAGGCUUAACCAUUUACUCCAUAACAAUAGCAAUUGCAGAUUCAAUCAUCUCAGAUUCUCUGCGGACAACUUCAGCCCUAACAUCUGCAGCUUUGUUCUCGGUCACCUUGAGUCGUUCGCGUAGCUCAGAAGCUCCGUCCUCAACAACCCCAAGCCGGGCACGCAGCUUAGCAGCUUCGUCCUCUGCAGCUCCAAGCAGUGCACGCAGCUUAGCAGCUUCGUCUUUCAAAUCCUUCUCUUUCUCCCGAAGUACUUCAAUCCUGGUGAUCUUAGUGGUAGAGAACACCUCUUUCACAUAAGGACUUAACCAUUCCAAAUCAAAUUUGAACUCGUUUAACUGCUUCCAGAGAAUACGUAACUCAUCUUCCAGAUACACCCAAUCCCUCUUCUCAACAUUUUUCAACAGAAACAGCACCCGCCCUAAGCUAUCAAAGGCGCUUUGUGUUACUAUUUCAGAGUGGUUUUUCUGGCUAUGAAUCAGCUGGGGGUGGUUCUCACACGCUUUCUUGAGCAGAGGCAGGAAUGAUUUGUCCACCUGACACAGCCUUUUAAAAUUCACCAUUUUCCCUGAUAGCUUAGGAACUGUAGCAACCUUUGGAUAGGAAUAGGACGACACAUCUUGGAAUUCAAGACCCUCUUCAGCAAAUGUUGCAUUGGUCGUUGAUGAAGAUGCCAGCUCAUUUGCACUGCCAUACAACAAGUGAAGAAGUCGAUGUAAUGCUACACGCCACUGGAAAUCUUCCUGAUUAUAUUGUGCAAACAUGUAAUCACAAACAUUAACCAUCUUGCUGGCAGGGAUAUCCUCAUAAACCAUCUUUCUAGCAAUGUCACGCACCAGACUACUCAUUAUGAUAUGGUCUUUGCUUUUAUCAGAAAGCAUCAGCAAACUAGACUCAAUGAGGUCAUUGAUGGCUGCUCUCACUUCAUCUUUCCUCCAGCCUAGUCGGAUUGCAUAUUGUGACAGCUCUUCAAUGAGAACUUCAUGUUCAUGAUCACGACCACUUGGAAACAAACCACAUAUUAAGAAUAUGGUUUUAGUUACUCUGGUGCUCAGUUCAUGAUAGCCUACUUCUAUAAUCUGGUGAAUAAAUUUAGAUGUGUCAGCUUCACAUUGCAAACUCUUCACUGGUAGCAUCUGCAUUGUUUUUAAUACUUCCUUCCACUGGUCAACAGUUUUUCCUCUUAAAGUGGAUCCAAUCACUGAACUUGCAAGGGGUAAACCAUGACAAUGUUUCGCAACUUGUUUUGCUACUUCAACAAUUGAUUCAGGGGAGCCGUCACUAAUGUCUGCAUGCUUCCUCAAAAGAUCGCAAGCUUCUCCUUCAGUUAAUAAAGACAGGUUAAUGCUUGGUUGGCAUCCCAUCCUAUAUACUGCUUCUUGAGUACUUGUAGUCAUGAGGACUUUACAGCUCAUACGCCUACCCAUGGUUCUAAGCUGCAAUCCAUUACAACCAUUAAAAAUCCCUAUCUUUUCCAGGUUGAGCCUGUCCAACACAUCAUCCAAAAUUAUAAGAACCAGUUCUUUACUUGUCAUUGAUUUUUUUCUCUGUCUUGCAGCUAGACCAGCUUCUUCUCCCAAUCUGAGACUCAAUUGGUCAGCUAUCUCACCUUGUAUCUUCAUGAAACUUGGAGUAGAUGUCACAGGAACGAAUACAACAAGGUUGAAGAUGUUCAACAGCUUGGCCUUUUCACCCACUUGUUUUGCUAAGGUUGUCUUUCCUGAUCCACCCAUGCCAGACAAUGCAACCUGAGAGAUCUUACAAUCUUUUAGUGCUUCCAAAAUUUGAUCGAAAGUGCUUUCUCUGGACUGGAACUGCAUCAAAUAUCCAGAAUCAUAAUCAUCUGUGACAGAAAUACCCUCUUCCAUCUUGAUAAUUCGCUCUCCUUCAUGAACCAUGUUGUAGCUCAGAAAACAGACGGGUAAGUAUUAUCUUUUGUACUCCGGAAUAGUCUUCCUUCCUGCUGGAACAGUUCAAUGUUUACAUUACAUGCAGAAGCUAAAUAACACUAAACAUAGAAGCUAACUGAAAAAUCACAUUAGUAAUAAUCAGAGCUUUCUUCCUAGGCAAACAUAUAGAAAGUGAAUUAGCACAGUAUCUCAUACAGUCAUACCUAGAAUUCGUAAACAUAGAAAAAAUCCAUAAAUGGAGUCAAAUUAUGAAACCAUAGCUCACCUUACUUUUUCUCAAAUUCCAGGGUAAUUAGUAGUGUAUGAGAUUCCCGCUUGUGAUGUCUUCCCGCUUGCUAAUCACAAAAGAUUUGAUUUUCUACUCUAUUGAAAUCAACUAGAAGAAGAAGAUGAAGAUGAAAUUCAGUAAUUCGGAUCGACCCGGAACACAGAAGAUAACGCUGUUUUGAGAUAGGACAGGGCGUUAAGAGCAACUCCAAUGGUAGUAAAGAGAGGCUCUAUUCUGACACAUGGGAAAAAAAAAGACUCAGUGUACGAAAAAGUGAGGAAAGUUCCUUAGGGNNNNNNNNNNNNNNNNNNNNNNNAUUAUAUAUGAAAUUAUUAAUUAUUUUUUUGAAUCUUAAUAUUUUUAAUAGUGAAUUAUUUUUGAAUUUAUAAAUUUUAAUAAUAUUAUUGUAAACAAAAUAACAACUACAUUAAUUUUAGAGUAAUACCCCAAAUAGGUCCCCAAGAAAUUUACUAUCGGACAGUUUUGUCCCCCACAAAAUUUAACUAAGAUUUCGACCCUGAGGUUCUCAGAUAUCCCCCAAAUACGUUCCCAAAACUGUUUGAUCCGGUUAAAGUGAUGACGUGUCAGGUUAACUGUGACAUGUCACCUUUAGGACAUUUUGGUCCCCAUCCACGCUGGACAAAAUGACGUCGUAUUGGAACCAGGGGCAAAACGACGUCGUUUCGGGGAGGACAAAUUCGUCCCCACUUAGACAGAAAAUGCAAACGGCGCCGUUUUCAUGUGGGGGACCUAUUUGUCUCAUAAUAGUAUCUUAGGGGACCUAUUUGACCUAUAAUUCGUGAUGUUAAAAGAAGCUAUAUUUACUUCAACGCAAACCUUAAAAACACAUUGACAUUGGUCUGUUCAUUUAUCAAAAUGGUAACAUAAACUUGAGAACCCAAACAUGUUAACGACACAAAUAUUUGGCUUCAAUAGCAACACAAACCAAAUCAAGUCAAAAGAAGGUUUAUUUUCUUCAACAUAAACUAAACGAAACCAUUAUAAACAACAUAAUGUCUUCUUCCUCCAACAUAACAAAAGGUGGUAACAUAACUAAGACAACAACUUUCACAUUAAUUUUUAGAAGCAUCAUUUCUUGAAAGACUGGUUCAACCCUCGUGUUGGAAUGAAUUUGAACAACUUAGAUAUUGUGCCACUGGUUGCAGCUGAUAUUGUCUCAGCACUAACACUCCCCGAAUUCACGGCCCUAAUUACUGUCUCUUUUGGACGUCUAAAAGAAAGCUGAGCUUGGAAUAAACAGUAUUGUUAUCACCAUGUUUCAGCAAUACUGAAAUUUUGUGUGAAACAUGGUGAUAACAAUACUUUUUAUUCUAAUCUCAGCUUUCUUUUAGACGUCCAAAGGAGACAGUAAUUAGGGCCGUGAAUUCGGGGAGUGUUAGUGUUGAGACAAUAUCAGCUGUAACCAGUGGCACAGUAUCUAAGUUGUUCAAAUUCAUUCCAACACGAGGGUUGAACCAGUCUUUCAAGAAAUAAUGCUUCUAAGAAUUAGUGUGAAAGUUGUUGUCUUAGUUAUGUUACCACCUUUUGUUAUGUUGGAGGAAGAAGACAUUAUGUUGUUUAUAAUGGUUUCGUUUAGUUUAUGUUGAAGAAAAUAAACCUUCUUUUGACUUGAUUUGGUUUGUGUUGCUAUUGAAGUAAAAUAUUUGUGUGGUUAACAUGUUUGGGUUCUCAAGUUUAUGUUACCAUUUUGAUAAAUGAACAGACCAAUGUCAAUGUGUUUUUAAGGUUUGCGUUGAAGUAAAUAUAGCUUCUUUUAACAUCACAAAUUAUAGGUCAAAUAGGUCCCCUAAGAUACUAUUAUGAGACAAAUAGGUCCCCCACAUGAAAACGGCGCCGUUUGCAUUCUCUGUCUAAGUGGGGACGAAUUUGUCCUCCCCGAAACGACGUCGUUUUGCCCCUGGUUCCAAUACGACGUCGUUUUGUCCAGCGUGGAUGGGGACCAAAAUGUCCUAAAGGUGACAUGUCACAGUUAACCUGACACGUCAUCACUUUAACCGGAUCAAACGGUUUUGGGGACGUAUCUGGGGGAUAUCUGAGAACCUCAGGGUCGAAAUCUUAGUUAAAUUUUGUGGGGGACAAAACUGUCGGAUAAUAAAUUUCUUGGGGACCUAUUUGGGGUAUUACUCUUAAUUUUAAUUGCUUUAAUUAAUUAAUUAAGUGUGACCACAAUAAGGACUAAAGUUAGUUUCUCCUAAUAGAAAAGAGAGAGAUGCUUUGAAUUCCUAUUUAUUGUUUGAGAAAAGCUCUGCAUACAAGUCAUUAGGGCUUGUAUGCUUUACAAGUUAAUUGUUUGACGUCGGCCAGUCUUUUUAAGUUAUUAUAUUAGCUAUCCAUAAGACCUCGUCAGGUUCUUUUUUUGGAUUGCUUUCGAUAACUUCUUACAUUAUUCUGUGUUCAUCUUUGCCGAUUUGUAGAAAAUGGUUGGCAUCUCGAAUUCGUCCUUUGGGUGAAUCGCGUUUUCACCUUUAUCGGACGAUUUAUCUUUAUCGUGGUCGUGCAGCGAAAUUGUUUUUCACUUUUUGUCGACCUGUAGCUUUAUAAUCGGACGAUGAAUACUUCAGACUAAUGCGUCUUGAAAUCUUUGUAGAAUACCUAAAUAAAUUUUAUUCCAAGAAAAAAUGCAAAUAUGUACAUGUGGGGAUUUCUUAUCCUCUUUAAAUUGGGUAUGGUCUAGGUCUCGACCUGGUGCCUCAUUAAAAAACCUUUUCAGGAAAAAGAGUGCAUCCGCUGGUGAGUUCUUCCCUCUGAAGAGGUCGGUCGCUUUAUCUCCAAUCGUCCCAGGUCGGAUAGCUCGACUCAGAGUAUGAACAAAUACUAAAAUAAAAUAAUAUUAUUUAGUCUUAUAUUCAGUAUAAUAAGUUAGAAUCAAUUCAACCUUUAAUUUACUGAUUUUAUACUAAAAUUAAGAAAUUAAUAUAGUGUCCAAAAAUAAAUUUUAAGUAAAAUGAUAAAAACGGUAAAUAUGAAAUAUCACUUUGAGAAUUUAGUUGGCACUCACCAUUCAAUUGGAGCUCGGGUCGGGUUGACCCACGAGAGUCCUGGGCCGGGCCGUAACAGUGCCCCCGACGCGCCAGUGAGGGUCGUGAGGGCGAUCGGUGGCGCGUGAUGUCCUUGUUUGUGCGUUGUCGUUGAGUCGGCUGACCGUAAGAGAGGCGCGUCUUUCGUGCGCGUGCCCCUUGGUCUGCUGAGGCGUUCGUUCGUCGCUUCGUUUUUCGUGCUGAGCAUUAAAUGCUCAUAAUGGUUUGAAAAAACCCCGCGCGUAAAGACCGUUUUGCCCCUGCUUUCUUUCGCGCUUCUCGUGGGGGUUUUUAAACAGUUUUCUUUCUCUUUUCCUUCUACCCUCGCCAUUUUCACUUUCCUCUCUCCCUGAUAUCCAAAAUUUCCUGUUCGAGCCCUCUCGUGCCUUCUUUUUCCUCCCAAGUUUCUGCAAUCGAUUCAGGUAAUUUUUGCUCCCUCUUCUCUUGUGUUUAUGCCAUUUUUACCGCUGCGCAGUUGUUGUUUGUGAUGGUUGUAUGCUUGGUUUACUUUUAGCCGAAUGGCCUUCCACUGGUGGGGUAGAUGAAUUAAGGGAGGGGUACCAUUCCUGGGUAGGUUUUAGGUGAUUUGCACGAUAGGCGUAGUUUUUAACUUUUCUUGGCCAUGAUCUGAGUUUGAAAAGGCGUAGUUUCUGGGUUUCUAUGGACUCCCGACCUCAUAGUCUAACGGAGUGGUACCCCGAUGUAGGUAUGCCUCGCAUCGUUUCCCGGUCUUCAGGAACUGGCGUGGCCUACGACCCGUACGCCUGGGUGACCGAUGAUAUAAGGAGCUCACCCAACCAAAUGGACUUGGAGGAGUUGACCGAGUUCCGGUAAGCCGGCUACUUGUGUGGGGGGACUGACGAGGAGGCCAACUACGAGGCCAUUGUCCCUGCCCCCCAUGAGCGUAUUUAUGAGCUCAACUUUCACUCCCCUCGUGUCCCCGAUUGGAUCUGGUUUUACAAGUCCAUGUUCACACACAAAUGGCGCUUCUGAACCGGAUAUCCGUCCCCCCGUCUCAGCUUCAUCCGAACAGCUGGGCUUCGAUCCGCUGCUUCGAAAUGGUUUGCGAGCACCUGGAGCUGCCGGUGUCGGUGGACGUUUUCCUCUUCUAUUUCAACCUUACCAACCCUUCCAAACAGGGGAAGGCGAGAAAAGGGUGGCAGAAUCUGAGUUUUAGAGGAGAUGUUGCCGAAAUUUUAUAAAACCAGAAGCUUCAUUUGAAAAAGUUGUUUUAAAAGGUUUAAUUUUAAGUAUUAUAUGAUUUGAGAUUACUUCAUUUAUCAAAGAAAAAGUUAUGUUUUGGAUUGAGAAUUGUUAGUAAAACAGAAUGAAAAGAAGGAUGAUGAGGAUUUCUUUGAAAUAUGGGUUUUGAAUGAAUUUAGAAAUGAGAAUUGGAUUGAUGAACGAUUAUGAUGUUGAAAAUGUUGAGAAUGUUGAGAAUGUUGAGAUAUGAACUUUGAAAUUAUUCACAUGGCUUAUAAAUUUGAAUUAUCUGAGAUACGAGGUUCCCUGGAUAAAGUACCAUGGCUUGCCACCACGUGUACCAGGUUGAAAACUCGAUACUCUGUUGACCCUACGAUGUAAGUGUGACCGGACACUAUAUAAAUUCCCGGGAAUGUUACCCCCAUUGAGCAAUAUUGAUUAUUUGAGAAAAAGCUAUGCAUAGACUCUUUGGGAUGCACGUCGGGGGACAGUCUAAGUACAAUUCAGACUUGUCGGGUUGGCUGGAUAACCGACAGAUGAGCCUCAUCAGCCAUAGAACAGGCAUGCAUCAUAUGCAUUUGUAUGCUUUGCUUGGGUUUGAACUUGUUUUGGUUUGCCUAAUUGCUAAAUUGUUCCUAACUGCUACUUGAACUAUUUGCUGUAACUGCUUUCUACUUGUGUUUUACUUGUUUGUCUUGCUUGUGUUUGUCCUGGCGUGUUACAUUUAAGAAUGGACUUUGGUGCUGAAUUAAUGAUUGUGUGGUUUGAUUGCGUGGUUGGAUUCUGACUGAGAUUUGCUUAUGAGAAAAGAAAGACCUUGGAUUUCUAAAAAUAUUGAACGUUGUUUCUUUGAAAAGGUUUUGAACGAUUAGCUAUUGGAUUUUUAAAAGGAUUCAUAAGGCAAUGAUAAUCACUGAAUUUGAAAGCAGUUUUCUUAUUGAAAUAUCUUCUUAUGACAACUUUGAAACUCCGUGGUGAGAACGUGUGGUUAGGUUCUCACCCCCUACAGCUUUAUCUUUUCAGGAACCGGAUGAAGAAGCAUUAGGAAGAGUUAUACUGCGUUUGGUUUAUAAGUUAUUGUAUUAAUUAGAUUAUUUUCUUCCCUCGUCUUUUUUAUUACAAGUUUGUAAGAGGGAUAGGAAUUGUAUGUUUUAUAUGUAUAUCAUAUUAUGAGUUAUUAUGUAAGGAGUCUUGUAUAUGAAUCUAUGCCUGUUUGUAUUUUUCUUAAGAUAAAGUGUUUAUUUCCGGUUUUCAAAGAAAUAAGUGAUACAGUGUCGAGUCACAGGCUCCUAUUUUAAUAUUUAGUAUGUAAUAUAGUCGUAAUAUUUCUUGCUAUCAGAGUAGCGCAGCUGAAAACAUGACUUCUGAUAGUAAGGAUGUUACAUAAAUUCUUAUUAUAUAGGUGAGAUAAAAAAAAUAUAUGAGAAAGAAACUAUUUAAAAAUGAGAGAUUAUAUUUUAUUCUCUAAAAUAAAAAUUUAAAAUUUAAAAUAUCCAAAUUCAUGGUUUCACAUAACAAGCUAACAUUUAUGUCUUCAAUUGAUUAAUUGACUUCCAAAUUAGCAUACAAAAUAUAGCCAAAUAUCACAUCAAACAAACAUAUCUAUAAAACCUUGAUUAUAAUAAAUAUAUUCAUUAUAUAUAUACCAACAUUCAUUAUUAUUAAAUAAUUAAAAAAUAUUUUUAAUAUCUAAACCUAUGUNNNNNNNNNNNNNNNNNNNNNNNNNNNNNNNNNNNNNNNNNNNNNNNNNNNNNNNNNNNNNNNNNNNNNNNNNNNNNNNNNNNNNNNNNNNNNNNNNNNNNNNNNNNNNNNNNNNNNNNNNNNNNNNNNNNNNNNNCAACAUUAAAUUAAUUAAUUACUAAGAUUAAUUACCAAAACUCUAACACUAAUUUUAUUACUAAGAUCACUUAAUUUUUUCAAAGUAAUUAAUUAAUUAACUAAUUUACACUAACGUAUAAAUUCUUUUAAACUUCCACUAAAGUUAGGAUAAUCAAUUGUAACAUUAAUUUUAAAAUGUAACUCACCGUUACACUAUUGUUUUCAAUGUUAACGUUAAUUUUUUUUAAAUAAGUAGUAUGAUUUUGGUCCCUAACGUAGAUGUUGAAAAUCAAUUUUGUCUCUAGCCUUUUUUUUGCUCCAAAAUGGUCCCCAAGAUUUCAAUUUGUUUUAAAAUCGUCAUUCGGACGAAAAUACCCUUCCCCCUUCGCCCCAAAAUCAACCAAAAUCAACCACCAUCACCACCACUACCACCAAAACAGAAGUCUACGCCCAACCAGAACCCACCACCACCACCACCACCACCAAUAUCAUCAUGGUCAUCAUCAUCAUCAGAACUUUUCCCAAAAUCAACCAAAAUCAAUCAGAAGUCCAAGCUGAACAAGAACCCAUCACCACCACCACCAUUAUCAUCAUGGUCAUCAUCAUCAUCAGAAGAAGAAGAAGAACAACAAAACUCAAAACAGAACCCACCACCAUUCCCACCUCAGAAAAUCAGAAAUCAAAAAUUCAGAACAAUCAAAACUCAGAACCAUCAACAAAAUUCAAAACUAAAAUUCUUCCUCUUUUAUUCUUGUUCUGCUUCUUCAUCUUCUUUUAAAGAAAUUCAAGCAACAUGCACUUUAAAAAAUAAUCAACAAAUUCAGCAACAACAAUAUUCCAAAUUCAAGUCAAAUCACAAAAAAUUAAAUUAUAGAUAUUCCACAACGGUGAGGGCGAGGAGGAGGAGCAGUGGUGGAUCACAGGCGGCAGAGCGGCGGUGCGGCGGUAUGACGGUGCGGCAGUUCCCCCCACCCCCAACCCCUCCUUUCUCACGCUCCACUCCCCUUCUUUUUCUCCCCCGAUUCUCUAUAUCCCUUUCUUUCUUUCCUUUCUUUUUUAUUUAUUUUAUAUUUAUUUUUUUUAUAAUUUUUUAAUGAGGAAUAGUUCGGUAAUAAAAAAAUAAAAUUGGUAAAAAGGACAAUUUUAAAACAAACUGAAAUAUUAGGGACCAUUUUAUAGCGAAAAAAAGGCUGGGGACGAAAUCGAUUUUUCGCCUCUACGUUAGGGACCAAAAUCAUACUUAUCCCUUUUAAUAAGUAUAAAUUUAAUUAAAAACUAAUUUCUUCUCUUCUCCUUUCAUACUCAGCACUCAUUCUUAUAUUUACUAUAUAAAUCAACAUUCAAUUCACAAAAUUUUUUUAUCUCCUUUCACAUAAUCUCAUACUUCUUUCUCUUUCUCCCUCUCCCUCUCAAUUAUUGCUAAUUUUUUGCACAACUAGAAUUUGGUUGAUAACUAUAGUUUUUAUUUAUUUUAUUUUUUUAAUUUAGUAAACGUAUGUAUAAGGUAAUUGUGUGACUGUAUUCAUUAGUUUUUUUUAUUUCUUUGUGUAAUUAUAUUCAUAAGUUAUAUAAUGUGUUUGUCGUCUAUAUAUCACUUCUUUUUUCUUUUAACAAUUUAUAUUUUUUUAAUAUCAUUUAGUUGUAACAAUAUUAUUAAAAAUACAUAUUAUCAUGAUUUAUGAAAAAUAAAAUUAAAAAAUUAAAUAUCAUUGUUUAUUAUCAAAACUUUAAUAAUAUUCAUAUUUGUAUUUUAUCUAAUAGUUUUAUCAAAAUACCNNNNNNNNNNNNNNNNNNNNNNNNNNNNNNNNAAUAUUAUUAUUAAAUUAUAUAUAAAUUUUUAAAUUAAAUGAAUAUAUUUUAAAGGAAAAGUAUUGGAUACCAAGAAUCAAUUUGUUAACUUUUGAUAACUCAAAUUUUUUUUUCAAAGAUAGGAGAUUUAAAAUCACAACCUCUUAAUUGAAUAUAGGGAGAUUAUGCCAUUUGAGCUAUAACUCAUUGGCUUUGAUAACUCAAUUAAUAAUUAAUAAUUUUAAAUUAUUUUAAUAAAUUUAAAUUUCAAAAAAUAACAUUAAAAAAAUUUAUGAAUAAUAAGGAUUGUGUUGAGUAACCGCCCACAAUGUCACUGUGAUCAGCGUCUGUUUUCCUCUUAUCAUCGCAACAUCUCCUUUCUCACCAACAGCACCGCUUCGCUGCCGCUGCAGCGUGCUUCCGUCACAGCUGCACAACCACCACAAAGAUUGUGUUGAGUAACCACCCGCAAGGUCAUUGUGAUAUCCAUCCCCUCUUAAGGUGUUGUUAUCAUUGUGGUACUUGUGUCGUCGUCAUAUCACCUAAUAGACCUCCAUUAACAAACACUUCUAAUACAAAAAAAAACUUUUAUAACUAUAAAAGACACAGACACACUCGAAAAAAACACCUACAAAAUAGAUGCCUUAAAAAAUAAUUAGCAGAUUCUAUGUUGAUUACCUAAUCAAAUUAUAUUUUAAAAUAUUUUUUACAAAUUAACUCUUAAGUUUAACAUUAAUUUACAUAUUAUCUAAUAUAUCUCUAAGUAGUAUUAGCAUUUUAAAUGUACACUAUAUAAUAUAAUUAAUUUAGUUCUUCAUACAUCACGCGCGAGUCUUAAUCUAUUGAUAAUUAUUCAAUAUUAAUAAAAAUAAUUAUUUUCACAAUUAUUAAAUGUAAAAUAAACAUAUAAAAUAAUUUAUAUUAUCAGUAAUGUAAAACUAAAUAUUAAAAAACAAAGAAAAGGGGAAAGCAUUACCAUGAAAAAGGAGUAUAUUUUGUUAAGAAACCUUGUAUAAUUUCAUGCAUUGCAUGGCGAAGACAGUGUUUGGUGACCUAAAAGCUACAACAGAAAGCAACAUGCCAAUCAUGUCGGCGCCCGCACUCUUGUCCACCGUUAGCGCCGCCACGGCCAUUGUCACAACCUUGUUGUUAAUCUGCAAGUCUCGUCUCAUGCACGAAAAGAACCUCACAACACACCAUCGCCAACAACCCAAACGCAAUCCCGAACAACCCAAACGCGAUCCACACGGCAAGAUGCUAUUCGUUUCCCAAAUCGGAACUUCAAAAGCCCUAGCGACGCGCCUCUGCGAUUUGUUAGAGUCGAAAGGCAUCGUUUUGGAGCUCGUAGAUGCCCGGAAUUAAGAGCCCAAAGCCCUACCCAAGGAGAACCUCGUCGUCCUCGUUGCUUCAACUUCGGAAGUUUGGAACCUACCUCCCGCACGGAAUUUCUUCCCCAGUCACGACCUACCUUGGGGAGCAAGGUUCUUCGUCGAUUGGAUCGAGGAAAAAGCGAACGCCUUUAAGGUUAGAGCGUUUGUUGUGAAUGCUUGCAGUUUCAGUGCCUUUGUGGUGGGCAGAGAGGUUAAUGAAGGUGGCAAGAAUUUGAUGGCUAAGGCCGCCAAUGAGAUUAGGGGUUUGGGGCACACUGCUGAAUCGAAUGCGGAUUUUGACAGCUGGUGGGGAAGUGUUGUUGCGGUUUUGCAAGGUGCUGUUUUGGGAGAUGCUGCUGAUGGCAUAUGCGGGGAAUCUGAACCUGAGGUCCGUUUCUGCAUCCUCUUAUCCUUAUAUAACUAUGGCGUUUCUAUUUAUUAUCAUCACACUGCAGAGCUCUCUAUUUAAUAGUUAAUUGUUUCCCUAAUUCCAGGAUGUUGGUUCUUCUGAUCUAAACCUAUCCAUGACACAUCGUUUAUAUAUGUUGGUGAUAAAUAAGGAUUAUGUAACAAAGCAAACCGACCCUUAUGUGAGGUUCUCUAGUACCACCAGGUACAGGAUGUUAACUAUCACUGACGACAACUUUAUGAAGAAUGGCACUGUUGAACUUGAACAAGUAUGUCAUUUACCUGCCCAAUGGCCUCUUAGAGAUGAUCUAUUGAUCGACAACGAUGUGUUACCAAAUUUUCAAGGAUUUUGUUCCGUUGGUCGCUGCUUUUUCUUUACUGGUGAUGUAUGGGAUGGUCUUAUAACACAUCCGAACGUGGGUUAUUACGAUUGUUACUACUCAAAGCUGUGGUGCCUUAAGUAUGAGGAUCCUACUUGGGUUUGGAGUCUAUGUGGAACCAUGUUCUGCUCCCGAUUAAGUCCCUUAGUAGUCCCAUACGAUGGCAAAUUGUGCAUGUUUUGGGGUGACUAUCAAAUUGCAAAUUGGGUUGAGAUCUAUAGCCUAAAAUCAGGUCUAUGGGAAAAAAAGGGAAGUGCCCUGUAGUGAUCUCUUCUCAGAUCACCCGUUGGCUAGCUCGUACUUUCUGUGGGAGGACAGCAAGAAGACCCUCAUUGUAUUGUAUUCUUUUGAUGAUAAUCAUCAGUUGCUCAUCUCAUAUGACGUCAAAGCUAACAGAUGGGAAGAAGUUGAGUGCAAUUUUCCGCCAGUUCCUAAAUAUUGUCCUAGAAAAUUAGUUCGUUUGGGAUGUAGCCAUUAUCUUCUGAUUGUAGACUUCGCUCCAACGUGGUAUAUUUAUGACUUGUCUGAGAAGCAGGUUGUGGCAAAAGUUCCCGUGGAUGGUUUGGAGGAGGACCGUGUGCGGGUAUCAAAUAUUUUUUGUUGCGACCACAGUAGCAAAGAAAGUUUGAUCUAUAUAUUCACGGAACACGAGGAAGAGGAAGAAUUUCCUCAGUUUGUUCCUUAUGCCAGAGUUAGGCUCCAACUCCAAACCUUUUCUGCCAAGAUUGAAUCCAAGGGUUAUCUUAGACUUGGUCCUUAUUACAUAUACCGUAUGUGAGUAUGCGCUUCUCUUUAAACUUGUUUCACCCUAUCCAUUGAUUGAGCUUUGAUAUUUACUUGUUUAACUCGGUGGACAGAUUUGCUGCUGGAGAUGAAGGCAAUAAAGAGAAGAGUGUAGUUUAGUAUACGGGUGUGGUGUAUAUUAGGAAUUAGAAUUGGAGCAUGAAUGACAAAGUAGCCAAAGAAAGAAGUGAUGGAUAGCAAAGUGAUAUGAAAGCUGUAGCCACCUUGAAUCCAACUUUGUUGCCAAGACAUGAAUGCCAAACAAGUAUACAAAUAUUUUGUAAGCUAUGUAUUUACCUCUUUGGCCCUGAAACACACGACUCAACAUCUUCCAAGUCUAAGUGCAAUUCAGAUGUAUAUACUCUUUUAUCACCUUCCUGGAAAGCAAGCAAUGAUUUUGCUAGAUUUAUUAAUUAGAGUUUAUAUCUUAUUUAAUAUAAAAAUACCAUAAUAAUUAUGUUCAAAUAAAAUUAUUUAUAUAUUUUUAUUAUAUGAAAAAAGUUAAUACUAUAUUAUUGUGAGAUAAAUUUAGAGUAAUGUUACAUGUAUACUAAAAUUAGUCGCUAAAAUCAGCUAUUAGUAUAAAAUAUAUGUUGAAAUACAAAUAUACAUUGAAAAUAAAUUAAAUCACACAUGUAUUUAUUUACAAAUAUAUUGGUGGCUAAUUUUAGUGGAUGAUAUUAGAGUAUAAAUAGCAUUUUUGAUAAAUUUAUGCCAUAUAAUUAUUUUUUUACUACGAAUCAUUAAAUAUUUUAAUUAUGAAGUAAUGGUUAAAUAUAAUUAACAUCUAUAUUAAAAUAAUAACAAUAAUUUUCAGUUAUAAAUAUUCAAAUUGCAUAUUAUUAUGAUCUAUUUAUGUAUAUAAUCAACAAUACUCAUUAUUAUUACAGUAUCACUUCAUCCAUUUCAUAAUUUCUUAUAUGAAUUGUCAAGAAUUUCUUCAACAACUUUUAAUUGUACAAGAUCAAAAUUACAACAUAUAUAAACGAUAUUCUGUUUCUCUUAAUUAGCGAUGAGAUUUGCAAAUUUUUAAGAUAUUUUUGGUUGGCUUUGUUUUUUUUUUUAUCUACAUUUCAUUUAUUUAGAAUUUUAUAAAAAAAUAUUAAAAAUAAAAGUUAAAAAAUUAAAAAUACUUUUUUUUUCCAAAGAUAAUAGGUUAUAUUUCAUUAAUAAUUAAAAAAUGAAAUACAAAGAUGUCCAAAAGCAGAACAACAUAAUAAAAGGUGGGAAUUUUUCAAAAACACUACAUACACUGAAAGUAUUCAUCCAACGGUGCGUGGUCGAAAAACGAAGAAAAAUCUUAAAGAAGAAAUAAUGAUAAAUCAAAUUGAAUGCAACUAAGAGCUUGCCUUAUGGAGAUGACGACCUAAACUGGGAGUUCUUUGGAUUUCAAGAAACAACUUGACAGAGCUUGCUAGAAUGGCAGACGUCAUAGAAGUAGAACCUUCAAAAAUCAACUGGUUGCGAGCUUUCCAGCAGUUCCAGCAAAUGAUGGCAAACAAUUGAGGAUUACGGUCAGCAUUCUUCAACGGGUUAAGUAUCUCUGUUGAUGCAGUCCACCAUGUCCAAAAGUCGUUAGAACUCUGAGGGGGAAGACAGUCACGAAGAUAACUCUGAGACCAUACGUCUUUAAUUCUAGAGCAAUCGAUCAAACAAUGAGUGACUGUUUCCGUUGCUUCAUGACAGCAGGGGCAUAUUGGUGAUAUAGAUGGGAUGCGGUGAUGAAUCUGAGCAAGCACCGGAAGUCGGCCAUGGAGAGCUUUCCAGAUAAAUAGCUUAAUUUUGUGAGGCAAGUUCAACUUCCAUAGAUCAAUCCACGGCUUUUUCUGCUGCAUAUAAUUAGGGCAAAGCUCCAGAGGCGGAUGGUAAAAUAAAUAGCCAAUUCUGUAACCUGAAACUGUAUCAUAUUGCUUGGAUUUGUUCAAAUCCCAUUGCAAUUUGUCCCUACUCUACUGAAUUUUAACUGACAAAAUCCUGUUUGCAACGUCUUGGGGAAAUAAUUCUUGAAUGAGAUUCUGAUUCCAAUUUCUAUCUUCAGUAAUUAGAUCUUUAACUCUUGGAACUAACUCAGAAAUAGCUUGUCUAUUUGGCAUGUCAGAAAUCAUUAAAGGAUACGGAGGAGGCAGCCAAGGAUCCUCAAAGGUUUGGAUAUUCUCACAAGUACCCACAGCCCAAUUAAGACCUUUUUCAACAAUCUUUCGGCCUUCCAGUAUGCUCCUCCAUCCCCAAGAAGGUAAGACUCCAAUUUCUGCCAUUAUAGCAUUACCAUUGCUAAAGUAUUUACCUCUUAAGAUUUUGGAUAAUAAGGAAGUAGGCUGUGUUACAAGUUGCCAAAACUGUUUGCCUAAAAGCGCCAAAUUUUGGAUUCUGAGAUCUUUAAAUCCAAGGCCUCCUUCUUUUCGUGGGCGAGUCAUAGUGUCCCAGCUAAUCCAAGCCAUCCUCCUUUCAGAACCUUUUUGUCCUCACCAGAACUGAGAAAGUAGAGAGUGAAUUUCCGAAAUUAAACCAUCAGGCAACUUGAAGCAAGACAAUGUAUAAAUAGGAAUAGCUUCUCCCACUGCCUUAAGCAAUACGUGUCUACCACCUGACGAAAGAAGAUUGCGCUUCCACCCUUGGAUUCUUUUCUGAACCAUUUCUUUGAUCAUACUAAAAGAAGCCUUUUUCGAUUUAGAGACUGUAGAAGGCAAACCAAGGUAUUUAUCCUGAGCUCCAAUAUGAUUAAUAUUCAUAGAGUUAGCCAGUAGUGUACGAGUAGUGGAUGGAGUGUUGUGGCUAAAGAAUACAGCAGAUUUAUUAAGAUUUACCCUCUGGCCACUGAUGCUUUCAUAAGAAUUCAAUAAAUGCAGGAUAUUUGAACAUGCUUCAGGAUUAGCCUUACAGAAUAAAAUGGAAUCAUCAGCAAACAGGAGGUGGUUGACCUUGGGACAUCACCUAUGUAUCUGAAGAUCCUGAAUUAGUCUAUUUUGUUCUGCCUUGUGUAGAAAGAAGGAGAGACUUUCUGCACAAAAAAGAAAAAGAUAGGGGGAUAGAGGAUCUCCUUGUCAAAUACCUCUAUUUGGUUUGAAGAAACCAUAAGGUUGUCCUUCCACAAUAACAGAAUAAGAAACAGUUGUCACUAAUUCUCGAAUCCACAUGAUCCAUCGGGAGUCAAAACCAAACUUCUCCAAUAUAAACCAAAGAAAGUGCCAUUCCACCCUAUCAUAUGCCUUACUCAUAUCUAAUUUUAGCGUCAUUUCAUUUUCGAGACCCCUUUUUUUGUUCUUCAAGUAAUGCAUACACUCGUGAGCAAUUAGGAUAUUAUCAGAGAUUAAUCUGCCUUUAAUAAAAGCACUCUGCGUAGGGCUAAUUAGUCUAUUCAUCAUACCCUGAAGCCUAUGUACAAAUACUUUGGAGAUAAUCUUGUAAAAGACUGAAGAUAGACUUAUUGGUCUUACCUGAGUCAUAUCUUUAGCAUUAGAAAUCUUGGGAAUAAGACAGAUCUGAGUGUGGUUAAAACCCUUCAAGAUUCUGCCCCCAGAAAAGAAGCACUUAACUGCUCGAAACACAUCACCACUAAGUAUGUUCCAGAAGCUUUGAAAAAAUUUUGCUGUCAUACCAUCAUCUCCUGGAGCACUUUGAGGAUGAAUGCUAAAUGUUGUGCGUUUCACUUCCUCCAUAGUCACUGGUCUUUGAAGCCUACGGUUCAUGUGAGCUGUAACCUUAGGUUCAAAAUCAAUAAAUAGAGGUUCAAGGUUCUCAUGACAAGUGGAGAAAAAGAUGUCCUUGAAAUAAGAUUCAGCCACAGAAGCAAUACCAGCAUUUGAAGUAGCCAUUUCACCAUCACUGCCAGUUAGUUGCCAAAUUCUAUUUCUUCGGGUUCGGUUUCUAAAUUUCUGAUGGAAGAAAGCUGUAUUCUGAUCACCAGAUUUGAGCCAUUUGACUCUAGACUUAUCUUUCCAAUAAGAUUCCUCAUUUUGUAAUGCUUUUUCAAGUUUGUCCUCUAUUUCUGAAAUGGUGUCGCCUCCAUGAAUUCCUGCUAAACGAAGUUCCUCUAAUUCCGACUGUAGUAAAUCAAUCUCCACCUUCGAAUUAGAUAUGUGUUCUUGCUGCCAUCUGACAAUCUUAUGCCGACAACGCUUUAUUUUUUAAGCUAGGAUAUACAUGGCUGAACCAUCAAUCUGUUCAUGCCAAACCUCUCUAACAAUCUGCCUUGUUUCAUCAUUGGAACACCAUCUUUCUUGGAAUUUGAAUCGGCGUUUAGAUCUCUCAGUUCUCGGAUUAGAGUCUAGGAGAAGAGGGGCAUGAUCCGAGCCUGAUUCUGACAGUCUAAGAACCGUUGCAUUGGGAUAGAGUUGCUGCCAAUCAACUCCUAUCAGGAAUCGGUCCAGUCUUUCCUGUAUCAACUCAUCACCUCUCCGUCUAUUUGACCAAGUAAAUGGUCUUCCAACCAUACCAAUAUCAAUCAGGGAAUUAUCAUCAAUAAAACUAUUAAAGGUUUUAAUAGAAGAAGGAGAUUUAGCACCCCCACCUUCUUUCUCCAAUUGAUUAGAAAUGGCAUUAAAAUCCCCCAUUAAUACAAUCUUACCAUCGAACUGUUGGGUGACUGAAGUUAAUUCAGCAAAUUGAGCCAUUCUAUGUUGAUCAUUUGAACUGAGAUAAACACCUAGAACACCAUAGGGAUCAUUAGAACCAGCUGUUAGAACUGAUGCCGCAAUGAAAAAUCUACCAUGCUGUAAAAUCUGAACAGUGCAACCAUCCCUCCAUGCCAUUGCCAAACCCCCUGAUAAUCCAUCCGGAUCUACAAUAAACCAUUCCUUGAAACCACAAGAUCUUAGUUUUCCUUCAACUUGUCGAGGUUGAUUUUUUGUUUCACAGAUAAAACCAACCUCGGGGGAGUAGGAUUUGCAAAUCCCUUUAAGAUUGUGGAUUGUCAGGGGUCUCCCCAAACCCCGACAAUUUCACGAGAGCAGUUUCAUAUUUCUUUGGGUGCCACUUGAAGGCUGGCACCCUCCACCGUCAUAGCAAUUAUACGAGGGUUCUGAGUCUCUGAUUUGUUACUCAUGGUGUAGAGAAAAUCAGAAUUGGUAUUCAAUGAUUCCAAAGAGACAUAAGAUAUAUGGAAUGAGUAAAUUAGAAAACGGAAUGAAUUAAAAGAGGAAUGAAUUGGGAGAGAAAACGAAAAUUAGGGAGCUAAGUGGAAAAAAAAUUAAGAAAAGAAAGUAGAAGAAGAUGGAAAAGAGUUUGACGAAAAAAAGACAAAGAAAUGUGUAACCAUGGAGACGGCGCAGUGAAACCCUAGCAGAGCAUCGGGUGCUAGAUGAGGAGUACGUACUCCCACACGAAAAAUUAAAAAUACUUGCGGACAACUAAAUAUAUUUCUGACAUCUAAAUUUUUAAAAAAUUUACGGACUAAAAUUUAUAGUCUAAAUUGACUUUGUCAGGGUCUUUAAUAACCAGAUUAUGAUUUCAUUUUUCAAGUACUUGAGAUGAAUCUCUUGUAACUUUGUUCUUUAUCAAUCAAUCAGUAUUGCCAUAUUCUCACCCUGCUUUGCCAUAUUCUCUUGAAGACUUCUGAGUAACUUGGGAAAGCAAAUUGAGGUAUGGUUUCAUCUUUCAACGAAUUCAUAUAUACCUUGCAAAACUUUUUCUUAAGACCAGUAGCAUAUAUAUAUGAAUAUAUCUAGGUGUAGUCAGCUAUCUGAAUCAAAUGAUUUGUUGUUGUUAUAUAUAAUAAAAAACAGUUGUUUAAACCUACAGAUAAAGGGAGAAAAUUUGGAGUAAUACAUCAUCACCUUUUGCACUUGCUGCCAUAUCUGUGUGUGUGAGCUUUCUAAUGGGUCAUCAGGGACAUGUUCUGACGAGGAAACCAGAACAUCUUAGGAGGAAACUGGAGACAAAAGUUGAGCAAGUACAAGAACAUGUAAAGAACACAGUUCAAGUUGAUGGAACUGAAGGCGGUUCUUUUAUGCAGUUUGACUUUGAAUCAAGAGAAAGCACAUUGUGAAGGAUUACCACUUGCCAUUUCAAUAUUGGGGUCAGCUCUAAGAGCAAGAACUGUUGACCUGUGGAAUCUUACAAUUGAAAUGAAAAAAAAACUCACUUUUUUUAAGAUAGAACAUAAUGUUUGAAUAAUAAUUUCAGAAUAAAGAUGUGUAAAUAAUGUAUAGAAACUAGAAAGCAACAAUAAAAAAAAUAUCACAUUCAAACUUGAUACAGAAUUACAGAAAAGGAAUAUGCCAUAUGCAGUGGUCUUCAAUAAUUACAUAACAAAGUGGCCGCAUGUUCAUAAUAAACACUUCAAUUCUUACAAAAUACAAAGAUAUCAAAACUACCACACCAUAUUGGGAAUUGAACAUAUAAUCAUCCAAUCCACAUUAUACAACACAAACAUUAAUCUAGUACUAGUGUUUUUCUUAGAGGAUAGAAAAUACUGUUUGAAUAACAGUGAGAAUAAGCAGAAAAAUUCCAGCAAUAGAAACUACUAUUUUCCAUGGAGUGUUACAGUAAUCGCGCCUCAAAGUCGCAACAUUGAGUGCAAUUUUCCGCCAGUUCCUGAAUUUAGUCCUAGAAAAUUAGUUCGUUUGGGAUGUAGCCAUUAUCUUCUGAUUGUGGACUUCGCUCCAAUGUGGUAUAUUUAUGACUUGUCUGAGAAGAAGCUUGUGGCAAUAGUGCACGUGGAUGGUUUGGAGGAGGAUGAUGUGCGGGUAUCAAAUAUUUUUUGUUGCCAAUACAGUAGCAAAGAAAGUUUGAUUUAUAUAUUCACGGAACACGAGGAAGAGGAAGAACUUCUUCAGUUUGUUUCUUAUGCCAGAGUCAGGCUCCAACUCCAAACUUUUUCUGCCAAGAUUGAAUCCAAGGGUUAUCUUAGAGUUGGUCCUCAUUACAAAUACCAUAUGUGAGUAUGUGCUUCUCUUUAAACUUGUUUCACCCUAUCCAUUGAUUGAGCUUUGAUAUUUACUUGUUUAACUCGGUGGACAGAUUUGCUGCUGGAGAUGAAGGCAAUAAAGAGAAGAGUGUAGUUUAGUAUACGGGUGUGGUGUAUAUUAGGAAUUAGAAUUUGAGCAUGAAUGACAAAGUAGCCAAAGAAAGAAGUGAUGGAUAGCAAAGUCAUAUGAAAGCUGUAGCCACCUUGAAUCCAACUUUGUUGCCAAGACAUGCAUGCCAUUCUGCCUUUCUACAACUAUACAAAUAUUUUGUAAGCUAUGUAUUUACCUCUUUGGCCCUGAAACACACGACUCAACAUCUCCCAAGUCUAAGUGCAAUUCAGAUGUAUAUACUCUUUUAUCAUCAUCCUGGAAAGCAAGCAAUGAUUUUGCUAGAUUUAUUAAUUAGAGUUUAUAUCUUAUUUAAUAUAAAAUACCAUAAUAAUUAUAUUCAAAUAAAAUUAUUUAUCUAUUUUUAUUAUAUAAAAAAAGUUAAUACUAAAUUAUUGUGAGAUAAAUUUAUGCCAUAUAAUUUUUUUAAUAAAAAAUAUUAGGAUGUCAUCAGAAUUUCUUAAUUUUGGCCUUUAGUUUGUUAUCCAUGUUUAAAAGUAUGGAAUAAAAUAUGUUGUUAAAUUACUAAAUUAAAAAAACUAAAUUAAAAGAAUUGAAUUAAUGAGACUAAAAAUAAUAAAUUCUUGUUAGUAACAAUGACCCUACACUUGCAGAAAAUACGUGUAGUUAGUUAGAACUACUGAGCCAAAUCAGCAAAAUUGUUAGAAGUCAGUUAGAGCCAAAUCAGCAAAGUUGUUAGAAGUCAAUUAGUCUUUCCGUUAAAUCCUAUGUAUAUAUAUAUUAGUCCCUAUACUAACUUCUUCUUCUUCUUCUUCUUCUUCUUCUUCUCAAAGAGGCUGAUACCUUCACAUGGUAUCAGAGCUUUCUUGGAUCCAUGAAUAACUCUACACAAAUCUCACAAGCUCCAACGAGCUUCCUUAGCCAGAAUCUCUUCACAGCUUUCUCAACGAUUAAACUUAAUGAAAACAACUACAAAGCAUGGAAGAAACAGGCACUAGCGUGCAUCAAGGUAAACAAGCUUCAACAUCAUCUUGAUCCAAGAAAGGUUCCAGCGCAAUUCAACUCAGAAUUAGAUAGAUGUAAUGGAACUGAAGCACAGCAAUACAUAGACUGGGAGGUGCGAGAUCAAUGCCUGGUAGCUUGGUUAAUUGCAUCAAUGGAGCAGAAUUUUAUAAAUCGAGUAAUUGAAUAUGAUCAUGCAUAUCAGAUCUGGUAUGUGUUAGAUGAAUACUUUGAAGCCAGAGUGAGAAGGAUUUAAUUGGGGUUUAGGGGUUUAAUACAUUCAAAGUAAUAAAAUCUUAAUGGAAGGGGACAAGAAAAGAAUGACAUCAAGAAGAAGAAUUUAUUGGCAUAGGAGAUACAGCGGAAACAUAAAAGACAAAUAAAGGUUUUUUCUACUAGACCUCUAAGAUACCUGUUCUUAGCAACCUAGGUCACCGGAAAGGAUUCCCUACUAGACCUUCAAAGAACUUGUCCUUGACAACCUAGAUCAGAGGGAUGAAAACUGAAAGAAACCACCACGUAGAUCACCUUAGUGUUGGAUCCUUCAAUCUUCCUCAUGCAACAAACGAAGCAAAUCACUCACCUCACUUCUCACACAAUAAACGUGCUUAAAAGCAACUAAAAUUUAUUCAUCAAAGUUAUAUAAAUUGUCUCACCAGAAGGUGUUUAAAUAGACCCCAAACAAACUAGCUAAAAGAUAAGAUAAGAUAACUAAUUUAAAUCAGAUUUGAUCUUAUUAGAUUAGAUCAUAUUUGAUUUAAAUUUUAAAAUCCUAAAGAUAUGAUAACUAAUUUAAAUCAGAUUUGAUCUUAUUAGAUUAGAUCAGAUUUGAUUUAAAUUUAAAAUCCCUAAAAUUACUACUAAGCAUAGCAUAUUUAAAACAAGUCUUCUAACAAACUUUUGACCAGAUAACAAACUAAAACAAAAGUCUAGAAUUUCGAAUUUUAAAGAUAAAUUAUGCCUUCCACUGAAUUCGAAAAGCAUUAUUGGGCUUCUUGUUGUCCUGACUUAGCCCAAUGGGCCUUGCCCAUUCUUCCUUGGUUAGAACUUGAUGUAACUCCAUAUGCAUAAGCGCUGCCGGGUUCCCAAAGCUCUCCUUGAGCUUCUUUGCACGUGCUCUAGUGAUGGGGUCCUCUAGAAGUAUAAAAUUUCCAUUCUGUCCUUUUGUCUUAGAAUGCCCCUGUUGUCUUUCCGAGCAGGUAUCACAGAGUCAAAUCAAAGAUUAAGCAGUUGAAAACACAGCUGAAGACGUUCAAGAAACAAAGAUCCUCGACAUCUGAAUAUAUCUCAAAAAUCAAUCAGGUAGCAGACACGUUGAACGCUCUUGGAGCACCACUUACCAAGGAAGAAUACAUAGAAGCAGCACUAGGAGGUCUCAGUGAGAAAUAUCGGGCAUUCAUUACAGUUACAACAACAAGAAUAGACCACAUGACAGAAAGCGAAUUUGAGUCACAAUUACUCACAGAAGAAGAGCUAAUUGAUAGAUUCAGAAAGACAGAUUUAGGGUUGGUUCAUGCAAAUGUAGCUCAAAGCAGUGAGGAACAACAAAAAGCGCAAGAUAGAAGCUAUUAUCACUACAGUAGAGGUGGAUUUCGAGGAACGCAAGGCAGAGGCUACUUCAGAGAUUCUAGAAGGUCUACAUGGUGGCAAGGUAGCAGACCUCAGUGCCAACUAUAUAUGUGGAAAGAUAGGACAUACAGUUGUACAGUGUUACCAUAAGUUUAAUCAAGAAUUCAUGAAUCCUCAACUGCAACCUUUAAACACAGUUCAACCACCUUCAAUGGCAUUCCACAAUGCCUAAGGCAAUCAGCAACGUUACGAAGAUCCAAAGAUGCAGUCACCUACAACAGCGAAUCCACAAGCACUCCUCUCGUUGCCAUCAGCUCUCUCUAACACCACCUGGUAUCCAGACUCAGGAGCCUCACACCACAUCACAUUUGACCAAAGAAACCUUGCCACAGGAUCAGACUAUGAAGGCAUAGAGAAAGUGUAUGGAGAAACUGGCCAUGGUAUGAAAAUUGAGCAUAUUGGAAGUUCAUUUAUGCAUGCAUUUUUGUCCAACAGACCUUUCACACUAAGAAACCUACUACAUGUACCCACUAUCUCUAAAAACCUUGUCAGUAUCGCUAAAUUUGCACUAGACAACUGUGUCUUUUUUGAAUUCUGGCAUUAUUUUUGCAAUAUCAAAUGCCAGAUGUCCAAGAAGAUACUCUUUCAAGGUCUACUUAAGGAAGGACUAUAUAGAUUUGAAGUGAUCCAAGUUAUCCCAAGAGCCACUGAAACCAAGCCAUUACAUUCCCCACCCAUUACACCAACUUGCAAUACAUCACCAAUAUAUCUGAAAAACCAAAAUUCACAACCUAUGAUUCCAAAGAAAAACCAAGUACACCUGAUCAUGGUCCCAAAUCUUUAAACUUACCUGCUGCAGAGCCAAAUUCACUAAUCCAAGUUAUCCCAAGAGCCACCGACACCAAGCCUUUACAUUUUCCACCCUCUAUACCAACCUAUAACAUCACCAAUAUAUUUGAAAAAUCAAAAUUCACAACCUAAGAUCCUAAAGAAAAACCAAGUACGCCUGACCAAGGUCCUAAGUCUUCAAGGUUACAAGCUGCAAAGCCAAAUUCACCAACCUCAGCUGAAGUCACACCACACACUGUGGCCAGCUCAAACUCAACUACUGACAGCCCCCCAAAUUUCCCUUUAUAAUAAAAUUUAUGUCUUAUAUAUAUGGAAAAGUAAAAGAAAAAUCAGAAAACAAAGAUCUUCUUAAGUCUGUAAGAAAGGAGUCUGAUCCUAUAGCAGCAAACAGUACUUGUAAAAGAGUUAGUGACAUAACUCAACAGUGGCAUAGAAAAUUAGGCCACCCCUCUGAUAAAGUAGUUAUUCUUGUAAUAAAACAAUGUGUGCCGAAGCUGGCUGAUGCAAUAAAUAAAAAAAGCCUUGAACCUUCAUUUUAUCAUGCUUGCUGCAUAAGCAAAAUACACAAAUUGCCAUAUCCUGAUUCCUGUACAACUUAUGCACCUUUAGAAUUAAUAUUUUCUGAUGUUUGAGGGCCAGCACCAGUAUAUAAUAGAUCAGGUUUUUGUUACUAUAUAUGUUUCAUUGAUGCAUGUACCAAACAUACCACCACUUACCUGCUUAACACCAAAGCUCAUGCCUUUAAAGCCUUCCAACAGUACAAAGAAGCUAUUGAACUCAAAACAGGACUGAAAAUUAAAGCAUUACAGACAAGCAAUGGAGGAGAGUACAUGUCUCUGGCAUUCAACCAAUUUCUUACUGAUCACGACAUUCAACACAUGCUUACUUGUCCCUACACCCAACAAUAGAAUGGUAUUGUUGAAAGAAGGCACAGACACAUCACUGAAAUAUCACUCACCUUACUAGCUCAAGCCAACCUACCUUUCACAUUCUGGAAAGACUCAACCAUGACUGCCACCUAUCUCAUAAACAGAUUGCCCACCUAACUUCUCAACAACAAAACCCCAUUAGAAGCCCUUACCAAUACCAAACCAGACUAUGAUUUUUUAAAACCCUUUGGCUGCACUUGCUACCCUUUGCUAAGACCAUACAAUGUACACAAGUUUGAUCACAGAUUUGACAAAUCAAUAUUUAUUGGUUAUGCCACAGACCACAAAGGAUACAUGUGCUUAUUCCCAAAUAGAAGAGAAGUUAUCUCAAGAAAUGUGUACUUCAAUGAAUCUGAAUUUCCUUACCCACAACUAUUUCGAUCCUAAUCUCACCACACUAUCCUAUAACCAAUCCCCAAUCCCACUUUCAAUCUUAGUCCUCUUUCCUCUAUUCAACCUCUUCCUCUCACCACAUCCCCAACCCUUCCUAAUGCACCUCAUACAUUGCAUUCUAUAAAUGAUACUUUCAAUAUCGCCAAUGACAUACAUGCAUCAUUACCUGCAAUACCUAUAUCUGUGUCUGAUUAUUCUGCUCUUGCUGAUGAUACUAUUACUGUCGCUAAUCCAUCUCCCAGCAAUAUCACUCCUAAUGCAGGUGCUCAUCAAUCACCUAGAAUUGAAGCUGUACUGUCAGCCCCAACAACCUUGUCAAUGAACCAGCAUCCAAUGCAAACAAGAAGCAAAUCUGGCAUUUUCAACCUAAAACAUAUGCAGCAGUAGUGCAAGAGGGUGCCAUUGUCCUCUCGGAGACCCUACCGCCGACAGUAGCAGAGGCUCUCACCUAUCCCCAUUGGCGAAGAGCAAUGGAGGAGGAAUAUGAAGCUCUUUUGAGGAACCACACUUGGCAGCUAGUCUCCAAACCCACUCCUAAUACAAUCCCUAUCAUUGGUUGCAAAUGGAUCUUUAGAAUAAAGAGACAUCCCAACGGCACCAUUCAAAAGUACAAAGCUAGGCUAGUGGAAAAGGAUUUUUACCAAAAGAAAGGCGUGAAUUUUGACUAGGUUUUCAGUCCCAUAGUAAGGCUACCUACUGUGCGAAUCAUGCUAACUUUGGCUUUGGCAAAAGGAUGGAGAAUAAGGCAAUUUGACUUCAACAACGCCUUUUAAAUGGGGAUCUUUAAGAAAUAGUAUAUAUGACUCAACCAGAAGGCUUUCUCUCACCGAACCAUUUGCAUCAUGUGUGCAAACUUCAGAGGUCACUAUAUGGGCUGAAGCAGGCGCCUCGUGUGUAGUUCACUAAGCUCAAGACAACCCUCGACAGCUUUGAAUUCCAUAACAUUAUCUCAGACACGUCUCUCUUCACAAGAUUUACAGCAUCCUCCGCAACUUAUAUUCUUGUCUAUGUCGAUGACAUCUUAGUCACAGGGAGUUCGGACUCUGAAAUUGCCACACUAAUCAGCCAACUUAACUCAAUCUUUUCUCUAAAAGACUUAGGAGAAAUGAAUUAUUUCUUGGGUACCAAAGCUAUUAAGAGAAACGACAAUGAAAUACUCCUUUGCUAGACCAAAUAUAUCAAGGAGCUGCUUGCAAAAGCGGAAAUGUAUGAUGCAAAAGCCAUGCCUACUCCAAUGGCAUCCAACUUAAAACUCUCAAUGCAUGAUGGUGAAACAUUUCAGAAGCUAAUGCUGUAUAAAUUCAUUGCAACAUAAGGCCUUCAGUAUGCAAUAAUCACCAGCCAGACCAGAUAUUACCUUUGUAGUCAAUAAAGACAAUUUAUGCACCACCCUCUAAAAAUUCAUUGGAGAGCUUAAGGCAAAGAAAAGGGGAUUAUUUUGAGGAUAAAAAUUAUGCACCACAAUAUAUAUUCAAUAUUAAUAAAAAUUAUUUUCACAAAUAUUUAAAAAUAAAAUAAUGUAUAUUAUCAGUAAUGUAAAAUUAAAUAUUAAAAAAACAAAGUCACCAAAAAAAAUAUUUAAAAAACAAAGAAAAGGGGAAAGCAAUUUAGUAACAAACCAGCGUGAAAAAGGAGUAUUUUGUUAAGAAACUUUGUAUAAUGUCAUGCAUUGCAUGGCGAAGAUAGUGUUUGGUGACCUAAAACCUAAAACUGAAAGCAACAUGCCAAUCAUGUCGGCGCCCGCACUCUUCUCCACCGUUAGCGCCGCCACGGCCACUGCCACGAUCUUGUUCUUAAUCUGCAAGUCUCGUCUCAUGCACGAAAAGAACCUCACAACACACCAUCGCCAACAACCCAAACGCAAUCCCGAACAACCCAAACGCGAUCCAUGUGGCAAGAUGCUAUUCGUUUCCCAAAUCGGAACUUCAAAAGCCCUAGCGACGCGCCUCUGCGAUUUGUUAGAGUCGAAAGGCGUCGUUUUGGACCUCGUAGAUGCCCGGAAUUACGAGCCCGAAGCCCUACCCAAGGAGAACCUCGUCCUCCUCGUUGCUUCAACUUCGGAAGUUUGGAACCUACCUCCCGCACGGAAUUUCUCUUCCAAUCACGACCUACCUUGGGGAGCAGAGUGCUUCGUCAAUUGGAUCGAGAAAAAAGCGAACGCCUUUAAGGUUGGAGCGUUUGUUGUGAAUGCUUGCAGUUUCAGUGCCUUUGUGGUGGGCAGCGAGGUUACUGAAGGUGGGAAGAAUUUGAUGGCUAAGGCCGCCAAUGAGAUUAGGGGUUUGGGGCACACUGCUGAAUGGAAUGCGGAUUUUGACAGCUGGUGGGGAAGUGUUGUUGCGGUUUUGCAAGGUGCUGUUUUGGGAAUAUGCGGGGAAUCUGAACCUGAGGUCUGUUUCUGCAUCCUCUUAUCCUUAUAUAACUAUGGCGUUUCUAUUUAUUAUCAUCACACUGCAGAGCUCUCUAUCUAAUAUUUAAUUGUUUCCCUAAUUCCAGGAUGUUGGUUCUUCUGAUCUAAACCUAUCCAUGACACAGCGUUUAUAUAUGUUGGUGAAAAAUCUUGUAGAAGUGAAAACCGAGCCUUAUGUGAGAUUCUCUAGUACCACCAGUUACAGGAUGUUAACUAUCACUGACGACAACUUUAUGAAAAAUGGCACUGUUGAACUUGAACAAGUAUGUCAUAUACCUGCCCAAUGGCCUCUUAGAGAUGAUCUAUUGAUCGACAACGGUGUGUUACCAGAUUUUCAAGGAAUUUGUUCUGAUGGUCGCUGCUUUUACUUUACUGCUGAUGUGGGUGGUCUUAUAGAACAUCCGAACGUGGGUUAUUACGAUAGUCGCUACUCAAAGCUGUGGUGCCUUAAGUAUGAGGAUCCUACUUGGGUUUGGAGUCUAUGUGGAACCAUGUUCUGCUCCCGAUUAAGUCCCUUCGUAGUCCCAUACGAUGGCAAAUUGUGCAUGUUUGGGGGUGAGUAUGGAAUUGCAAAUUGGGUUGAGAUCUAUAGCCUAAAAUCAGGUCUAUGGGAAAAAAGGGAAGUGCCAGAUAGUGCUCUCUUCUCAGGUCACUCGUUCCCUAGCUCGUACUUUCUGUGGGAGGACAGCACCAAGAGUAGCAAGAAGACCCUCAUUGUAUUGUAUUCUUUUGAUGAUAAUCAUCAGUUGCUCAUGUCAUAUGACGUCAAGGCUAACAGAUGGGAAGAAGUUGAGUGCAAUUUUCCG